GUGAUGGUGUAAGUGAGGGCCAAUUUGACAUGGUUCUGAACGAAGAAUUACUUGAUCUCAAGAGAGCAAUCCAGGGGGGAAAUUACUGCCCGACCAUCACUCUUAUUGUGGCCCGGAAGAGACACCUAACCCGGUUGUUUCCUAAGGUAAAUGAUCGGAGCUUUAAUGGGAAUGUGCCUCCAGGCACUGUUGUGGACACAACAGUGGUCCACCUAUCUGAGUUCGACUUCUAUCUUUGCAGCCACUAUGGUACACUUGGGACAAGCAAACCCACGCACUAUCAUGUCCUACACGAUGAGCACAGGUUUAGUUCUGACCAGAUCCAGAAGCUUAUCUAUAACUUGUGUUUCACCUUUGCUCGGUGUACAAAACCUGUCUCGCUGGUCCCACCAGUGUACUAUGCUGACCUUGCUGCCUAUAGAGGAAGGCUGUACUAUGAUGCAAUUGUGGCAGAGGUUGGAGCUUCAGCUGCAACUUCAUCAUCAGUUGCCUCACCAUCAUCAUCAUCGGCUGGAGCUUGGCUCAAUGACAGGCUUUACCGUCUGCAUGGUGCUCUGGAGAACAUGAUGUUUUUCAUCUGAAAAGAAUCAUGGAUCCGGAUCUCCUUUUCUACUUGCUGUACUGAAGAAGAAGGUUCUACAUAUCUGGUGAAAAGGCCUGUAGCAGCUUCAACAACAACCUCCUUUCCUAUGCAUAAAUUAGUAAAGGAGUUUGUGCGUGAAUCUAAUGGGUGUCUAGUGAUGUUAGUUGUCAUGGCCAAUGCUGGCCACAUGCUAACAUUUUCACCGUGUUUGGACAUGUCUAUUUUGUUGUCGUUCCAAGUGUGUUUGUGAGUUGUAUUUACUGUUGUGUGUGUUCAUGUAUUACAGGGUUUGCAGGGUUGUGAUGUGAUGUCUGUGUGUUACUGUUUUUAGGUUGUUCUGGUCUGCACUAUGUCUUUCUUCAAUGGGUUUCUACUUUUAAGUGCCUAAUGCUACAAUGACCUCGUUUUUUUGAGUCGAGUGAAUUACUUGAAUCCAAGCCACUUGUUUUCUUUUCUUGUCUUUUGCAACCAAGGCGGUAUUUCAACGAACAAUUAUGUAUGUGUAUACACCCAAUUUUAGGCCGACCUUUUUUUUUUUUUUUUUUUUACCAUAGAGGCUUUUAGACACUUCUAAAGACCUUAGCUGGGAAGGACACGUGGCGUGGCAUAGGAGGAUAUUCUGGUGGUUUGUUGAGAGCAGAGAGAGAUAUAGGCUGGGGGAGUGACAUGUGGCAGUGGGAUUCUCUGGCCAUUAGAACUUUUCCUGUAGUCUUGGAGGGCAAGAAAGAGAAGCGGAGAAGGGAGGGAGGAUUUUUUUCAGCAGGUUGGGGAGUUUUAGAGAGGGAGCAUGUCAGCAGAUUGGGGGAGUUUGGGAGAGAGUGAGGCUGUUAGAGAGAGUGGGAUGGUUGGACAGUAAGAGGGUGACACGCUUCUGGGAGGGGGGUUUUUGGGUGUCUUGGGCAGCAAGAAAAUUUCAGAGAGCAGAGGCAGGCAGAGGAUGGUUGGAGGUUUUUGAAGAGGAACGGUGAGAGAGUGCUGUUGAAGGAGCGGGGUGAUAUUCUGGGUUUUAGAGAGAAAACUUGAGGAGGAUUUUUCUGGUGAAGGUCUGUUUCGAGAGAGGUGCAGAGAGAGGCUUGGGAAGCAAGAAAGGAGGCAGAGCAGAAGAAAAGGAGAGGAAAACCAGAGCUGGAAGCAGAGGGGGAGCUGGAGCAGAGAGGGGAGCAAAGAGGAAGCAGGGGGAGUUGGAGAUUUCUUCUGAGGUUUUAGAGAUGAAAGCUUGGUCGAAGCCAAGCAGAUCAGUAUGAUUAUCGGGUCUCCCAUUUUCUACUGUUCUCAUUUCUUUCCCUGUAUAUCUAUAUCUAUGGAUGUUAUUUGAUGCUUUGAUAUAGACACCAGAUGCCAGAUUUCAUCUUGUUGAUCAUUGGUUAGCUAUGGACAUGUCAUUGGUUUACUCAUCUUUUUCCUUUGAGUUAAGUUUGGGGAAUGAAUCUGAUUGAAGACUUGUUGUUGCUUGAUGUUUGGGGAAUCAUAUUUUAGUUUCUUUAAUUUCAUCUUGGAACGCUCAGUUGUUCCAAGCCCAUGGACAAAUAAUGAAAUGUGGCUUUUUUGGCUGCCCACUCGUUGUCUUCCUCUUCUCUGUUUCUUUUGGGUUUCAUUUCAAUAUUUCUGCAUCUCUUUCCUUUACCCUUCUCCACUGCCAUUCACUCCUCCCCCACCACCUCAAUCCAUGCCAAUGCCGCCACAAACUGUGAUUCUGAUAGCCCUCCAGUGCUCUGUCUCAAAGAUGAUUCCUGCUUCUGAUUAGGGCAGUUUCUUUAACUAUUGGACGUGUUUUCUCCGACCUAAGAAUUAUAGGUCCAAACUAUAUGUCCCUGGUGAGAAGAAUGAUCAGUAUGUCAAGAGUGUGCAGAGGAUUGUUAUUUGGAUGGGAAAGAAGCAGGAAAUUGUUGAGGAUGUGCCCUAUGGAAACACUGUUGCUAUGGUUGAUUCGGAUCAGUUCAUCACUAAGGAUGCUACAUUGAUCAAUUGAGAAGGAACUAAUGCAUGGGAAUUUGCUUCUGAAUUAAUUGGUGGCCUGUACUCUUCCUCGGCAUGGUGUGGACAAUGUAAGAAGCUAGUUCCUGAGUGGAAAAAGGUUUCUAAUAACUUGAAGGGGACAGGUGGCUCUUGCCCUAGGCUAUUGGUUGCAUGGCAAUAUUGAAGUCAUCUGAGAUGGCUUAUGUGACUUGUUUAAAACUGGCUAAUGUGUGUAUGAAGGUGAGUUUGUCUACACAGCAGAGGGACGUUUGGGUGAGUAAAUAAGGAAACUUGAAGAUAUUUCUAUCCAUGAAGUGUAAUCUGCUGAUGAUAUAUUAAACAUUGCCAGUACCUUACGGGCAAUGCCAGAAGUUGAUCCCGAAACACCGAAGAUAGAGGGCUAACUGAAGACCUUUCAGAUGGACUUCAGAUUUUCGGAACGUGCUUCAACUGUAACUGAAAUCCAUGAGCAUCCGAGGCACAGCAUGCAAGUGAAGUCACACCAAGCAGAGGGCUUCGUUUUUCUGGUAAGCAACUUGGUGGCAGAAAAUCCCUGGGGUUGCAUUCUCGUUCAUGCUCCAGACCUUGAAAGUCUGAAAUGGCCUCAGUCAUAUAGUCCUAUAAAAUUUGUGAGCCAUACAAGUCAAAGGGGUUGGGUCUGGAAAAGGAAAUGGAUUUCAAGUGAUGUAAAGCAGCAGAUACCUGUUGGAUUACUAGAGCUGGAAGACGCUAUUUUCCUACGUCUGUCAGGCUUGACACAAUCUGGAUUGUCAAAUGUUGGCAAGGAUCAUUUGCAAGCAUCCAUUCUUGCAUUGGGAGCUGGCAGGAAUUCUAGUCAUACCUGAUCCAUUAAAACCUGGUGUUGGUGGUGUGAAAUCUGUCCAACCCGCGUAUGGGGCAGACCUGCUUCUAAGCAGGGCUCUUAUCAUGGAUGAUAAGAACUGAAAUGACAAACCUAUUUGUUUUCUUUUAGUCAUUUAAAUUAUUGGUUUCUGCUAAUCACUUCUAUAGAUGAUUUUUUUUUUUUAGUCAUCUAUAUUAUAAUUUUAUGUUAAUAUCAAAAUUUAUUAUAGCAACUUUAGAGAUCAAAUUCGUAAAAUAUCAAUAAUUUAAUAUUUGAAAAAAUAAUUUUAAUUAUUAAUUUUAAAUGUUAGUAAUAAUUUAUACCAUAUUAUUUCAUUCUUGACUUUUUUUUUUUAAUAUAAACUUUAAGGGUUAAGUCGAGUGUAUUCACUUUCAAAAUGUAAUUAAUGAUUGUGAAAAUUUGAUUUUAUUAUUUUAAAUACACAACUAUUUUUUUACCAUAUUCAAUGAGAUAAAUUAAAUUAAAUUCGAGAGUUUCCUAUAUAAUUUGUUAUUAAGAAAUAGUUUGAUGAUAAAUUUUUUCCUUUAAAUAAUUUAUAAAUAAAUUUAAAUUAAUUAAAAUAUUAUAUAAAAUGAUAUAACAUACUAAUAAUUUAGCCACAAAUAUGGUAUUAAUCCAUAAAUAAUAUUCAUAAAUAGCUAUAUCAAGUAUAUUGUAAUGUGUUAUAAUAUUAAUAUAAGAUUAUUCUUCAUAUUUUUUAAAUUAUUUUAUAGUUUUUAUAAUUAACUUUAAACUGUAUUGGUAUUAAUCUUACUUCUAUCUUAUUUUUUAAGUUAACUUUUAGUUUUUUGUUGACUAAUUCAAAUAAAUUCUUUAAAUUCAAAAUUUAUUAAAGUAAAUUAAGAGAUGUAUAAUAUUAAUUAUGCAAUAUUUGAAAAUUAAUUUUUUAUUUUCAUUAAGUAGUAAUGAUUUGGAUAUGAGAGAGAUAUAAAUAAUUAAAUGUUUAAAAAUCAAUUUUACUUAUUAAUUGUUAAUAAUUAAUAAUGACGAUAUCAUAUCUCUUCAUAUUUGAGUUAUUCCAAAGGAAUGACUUUUUUUUUUAAUUCUUUAAAUUCAAAUUUUCAUAUUCAUAUGAUUCAAAUUCUUUAAACUUAAAUUUUAAUGAUGUCAUGGGUUGGAAUAUAUAUAAUUAAAACAUGUGGUUACUAUUCACGUAAGAAGUUAAAAAGUUAACAAUAACUCAUUGAUUGUUUGUAUUGUUUAAGAUUCUUAUUUUUCUUAUUUAAGGAGGUUUGAUCCUCAUAGGCAGAUCGAAUUUUAAGCUCCUUAAGCUCUCCCUUCUCUCUUUUGUCUCUCUCAAGAUGUAAGCUUUUUAGUUGAAGUUUUCCUUUCUUCUUUCAUCUCCUAUCACUCCAUUGUAAGUUAUCUCUCCUAAAUAUGUACGCUUUCAAUUUUUUGUAGUAUAUGAAUUUUACGUUUUAUGUUUUAAGUUCCUUUAUUUUAAAUUAUAGCCCCAAAUCAUAUAUAUAGAAGUUUUCAUAACUAAAAAUACGUAAUUAUUUCAUUAUUUUUUUAUUUAAUUAUUUUUAAUUAAUAUUAUAAAAUUUUUGUAUCAUUUGUAUUAUUGGUUUAUUUUUUUCAUAUAAUUUGUAUUAUUUGUUAUUUUUUUUGUGAUUAAACUAUAUAUGUGAAAUCAUAUAAAGGUAAAAAUUCACUCAACCUACAAUUAUAAAGAAUUAUAGAAAUAUGAUAAAUUUUCAUAGCCCGAAUUUUUUAUGUAAAUAUUAUUGUCACUACAAGAAAAAAAAAAAAAAAAGGUCUUCAUUGACAGUUUUUCAUCGUCAAGAUAAGGUAUAUUUGUUAAGGUAGAUCGGUAUUCACAUAUGUCAUCUAUACUAGUGUCAAGAAAUGAUAAAAGCAAGCUUGACAUAUGCAUAUGUUAAGGUAGACCUUAUUUCUAUCAAUGUAGGAAUCUUAUUAAUAUGACGUAUGUUAAUGUUUCUUCCACUUCAGUCAAGGUUAGAUUAAACAUAUGUGAAGGUUGACUCAUUGUUUUGUCAAGAUUAUAUUCAAUAUAUGUUAAGUUUAAGUAUGAUAUAUGUUAAUGUUGUUUUAUAUGCUUUUAAAUUUAAUUUACACAUGUCAAGGAUGUUUAUUUUAUUUUAUUUUAUUUUUUUCCAAAAUUGAAAUUUUAAUAUGUUAAGGUUCCUUUAUUCUUAUGUCAAGGAAUAUAGUUUCUUUUAUGUCAAGAUUUCUUUAUUCAUAUAUCAAGGAAAUUGUUUUAUUUCAUAUCAAGGUUGCAUAUGGAACAUGUCAACAACUUAAAUUGUUGCCCAAAUGAUCUGCAUCAAAAUUGAACCUAUUGUGUGUGUGUAUAUAUAUAUAUAGAUAAAGUACAUGAAUGUAUAAAAUAUAUUUAUUUUUUUUAAAUAUGAACAUGUAAGCAAAUAUAUUGACAAAAAAAAAACUUAAUAUUUGUGCAUAAUCUUGUAUUAUCAUCACAUACAUCCACAAAAAAAAGGCAAAUAUGUACCCAAAAAUCCAAUAGUUAUACAUGAUAAAUAGAAUGUAUGCAUGAUUUUAUGCCUUUAAAAGUACUGUAACUGCUGCAAAUGCCACCUAACCUUUUGCAAGUAGGAAAAAAACAUCAGUAUAUGUUUUUAUUUAAAAGAUUAAUAUAAAGAUAUAAACAUGUAUCCAAAUUGUUAGAAAAAUUAGGCUAAUCCAACCUAUGGUAAUCACCCUAGAGGGGGAGGGGGAGGGGGAGAAAGUGAAUAAGGUGAUGGUCUCUUUUUGUAAAUUUAAAUUGCAAAAGAUAAUUAUAUGCAAAUAUAUAAUAAAACAAUUGCAUAUAAAUUAAGAGAAUAGUGAAGAGAAAAUGCAAACACAAUAUUUUUAUAGUGGUUCGACGCAACUUGACCUACGUCUACUCUCCUCUAACUUUAAUCCCAAGCUUGAGGUUCCACUACUUCAAGGCUUUUAAACCAAGUCUUCAAGCAAUACAAUUGGAUUAUGAUUCCAAUCCACCCUCUUAGACUUUUGGCUCCAAGCACCCUUUACAAUUCUCAAGAGAUACCCCACUCUUGAACAACCUCUCAAGUGAUACCCUACACUUGAGAAUCUCUAAGUGAUACCUCACUCUUGAACAACCCCUUAAGUGAUAUUCCCCACUUGAAAAUCCCUAAGUGAUACCUCACACUUAGACUUUUCUUCUCAAAGAUUUACAAAUGAUUUCACAAAAUUCUAGUACAAAACUUUAGACUCAAAUGAUACAAGAAAACUAGGAUUGAAUGAUGCACUAAUGAUAUGCAAGUUUUAGAACAAUGGUGCACUAAAAGAAUACUCUCCUAAGGCUCAAAUAUAUUCAAGAAAGGUUUAAGAAGGUUAAACUCAUGAAACAAUGAAGAUGUGAAGGCCUUUUAUAGAGGAAAAAGGCUAAACUAGCCGUUGGGGGUUCAAUCGGUUGAGCUGGGGGUUGACCGGUUGACUAGCAGUUAGCAUUUAAUGCUUGGUGAGUGACCUUUGGACCUCGACUGCCCCUUGACCGGUUGAGAUGGGGGUCGACCGGUUGAGGUUCAACCUUGAUUGGUUGAACAAUCAUUCUGGAAGAGAGAGAAGAGUUUUUUGCCCCCCUUGAUCGGUUGAGUUGAGGGUUGACUGAUUCCUCAUCCGGUUCAACUGGUUGAGCCGUUUUUGGCUCAACAACCAACUUUUUCAACUUAAAACCUUUCAAACAAGUUUGGAAAUCAUUUGACACAAGGUUUAAUUGAAAACAUGAAAUCAUCCAAUUUUAAAGGAUUUAAAAUGAAAAAAAACUCUUGGAUGAUUUUGGUGCAUAAGUAAAGAAUGUAAUGCAUGAAAAUCCUAGUGCACCAACAACCUUACAAAUAGAUCUUAUGAAGUUUGACUCUUGAAAAACACUUAUCUUUGAGGUCUUCUUCUUCUUAAUGAUUUUUCUUUGGCUUGAUUUAUCUCUGUGAUUGCCACUUUGAAAAUUGUCUUGCCUAAUCACACUUGAAAAAUAAUCAUUAGUUCUAAACCUUGUUUUGUUAUCACCAAAACCGAGAUUAACCAAACCUUGGUUUCACAAUCUCCCCCUUUUUGAUGAUGACAAAACCAAGGUUGCUAAAAAGCUCCCCCUCAAUAUAUGCUCUUUUGAAUUUAGAAAAUAUUCAAGUUUAGAAACUUCAAGGAGUAUAUUAAAGGUACUCAAAAUGAUAUAAUAAAAAAUAAAUAGCAUAAAGAGCAACAUAGCAAUUGGCAAGAUAUUAUUAUUAAAUAUGAUGCAUGCAAUUAUAACCAAUAAAACACAUAGCAUCAAUAUGAAUAGGAUUGCUAAAACGAUAUUGACAUUUUUUCCCAAGUUAGCAACCUAUCAUUAUUUCUCCCCCUUUUUGUCAUCAACAAAAAGUUUCAAUAAAGUAUAUAAGGGGAAUCAUAUAAUAUCAAAAGUUAAAAAAUAAACAAUAAGCAUAAUAUAAUUUUUCAUGAAAAUUAAUCUUCCCCUUUUUCAUUUAAGAACAUUUUUCAAAUAAAAGGUUGCUCCGUCUUAGAGCAUUCUCAAUUUAAAGUAUGAUUUGGAAAAGAUAUAUGGGAAAACAUAAGCAUUUAAAAAGAUAUACAACAGGCAUUGAAUAACACUAUUGGAGCAUACAAGCAUUUGAUCAUUCAAUUUUACCUAGAUAUAUAUUAAAAAAAAUCUUAUUUUUAAUCCAAACCUUGGUUUAACAAAUAUACCAAUUUUAUCAAUGUGAUACCAAAAGUUAUAUAACUAACAAAAAUUAUACCAAGUGUUAGUAAAAUGAUAAAAUGAUAUUGCAAAUUAAGCUUUAGAAGGGAUACCGUUACUAAUAUUAUUAAUGCAUUCUUUCCAAGAUAAGCAUAUCCUCCUUCUUGCAUGGAUCUCUACAAAACAAAUUAAGUAACCUUUGGUACCCACAUCUUUUUGGGUCCUAGAGGAUUAGUCUUUCUUCCCUUUGGAAUCCAAAAUAAUUUAGAGUUUUGAAAAACAUGAGGGGAUUUUCUUAAGGGACAAAUAUCACUAAUGUGACCUUCUCUUCUAUAAAGAUUGCAAAUAGUUGAAGGUGAAAAACUAGAGGCUUCCUUUAAUAAUUCUUAAAAUAUUUUUGAUUUUUGAAAGGCUUGUAACCUAGCCUUUUUUUUUUUUUUUAAUCAAAAAUGCAUUUUUGACUUGCCAAAAUCAUAUCAAAAGUCUUUUGACCAUUUGAUAAUUUUUGUAGAGAGGAUGUUAACCAUUCAUUUUUCUUUUUCAACUCCUCAUUUUCCUUUUCAAAAGAGAUUUUUGUCUUCUCAAUAUUUUCAAAAUUUUCCUUAAACUCAUUGAGCUCAUUGUGAAAACAAGAAAUUUUUUUCUUAAGAGAGACAUUUUUGAACCCAAGUUUGUCAAGAUCAAAAUAUAAUUCUUGAAAUAUAUCUUGAAACUCACUAUAGUUAGAGUUGGAAUUUACCUCAUCUUCAUGUUCCUCCAAAGCCAUGAAGCACAUGUUGGCAUCCUUAUUUGUGCAAUCUUCUUUCAUGGAGUGUUCAUCACUUCACUCUCUUCAUCUUCAUCAUCAUUUGUUGAAGCCAUAAAUGUUAUAUUUUUCUUAUUUUCUUCAACUUUUUUAUGAUUGUUCAAAUUUAUCUCAUAAGUCAUGAGUGAUCCAUUGAGUUCUUCAAGUGAGAGUUUGGUGAGAUCCUUUGCUUCUUGAAUAGCCGUCACUUUUGUUUCCCAUUUCUUUGGUAGAGACCUUAAGAUCUCCAAAACUUUCUCUACUUUGGUGUAGGUCUUUUCCAAGGCUUCAAGUUCAUUCAGAAUCACUAUGAACUUAGAAAACAUCUCUACAAUAGAUUCAAAAAUCCUUUAUAGAAAACAAUUCAUAAUCAUGCACAAGGAUGUUGAUUCUAGACUUUUUAACUUGGUUGGUUCCCUCAUGAGUGAUUUCUAAUAGUCUCCAAAUUUUUUUAGUUGACUUACAUUGCCAAACACGAUUAAAUUUAUUUCUCUCAAUAGCACAAUGUAAGAUAUAGGUGACUUUAGCAUUUAAUUGAACUUUCUUUUUAUCAAGUUCAUCCCAUUCUUGCUUAGGUUUUGGAACCAUCACUCCAUUUUCUAAUUUUGAAGGAAUGCGGGGACCAUCUUCAAUGACAUCCCAUAGAUCAAGAUUAAUAGAUUUUAAAAACCAAGACAUUUUUUCUUUCCAAUAGGAAUAAUCAAUUCUUGUAAAGAAUGGAGGUCGGGUGGUUGAAAAACUUUCAAUGUGAGAUGAGCUUGAUGGAUUAGCUAUUACUUCUUAGACGGUUAAGUCUUAAACAAGAGGCCUAACUCUGAUACCAAGGGUUAGAAAAAUUAGGCUAAUCCAACCUAUGGUAAUCACCCUAAGGGGGAGGGGGGGGGGGGGGGGGCUGAAUAGGGUGAUGGGAUCUUUUUGUUAAUUUAAAUUAUGUGAAUGAAAGGGAUAACUAUAUGCAAAUAUAUAAUAAAACAAUUGCAUAUAAAUUAAGAGAAUAGGGAAGAGAAAAUGCAAGCAUAAUAUUUUUAUAGUGGUUCAACGCAACCCGGCCUACGUCGACUCUCCUCUAGCUUCAAUCCCAAGCUUGAGGUUCUACUAUUUUAAGACUUUCAAACCAAGCCUUCAAGCAAUACAAUUGGAUUAUGGUUCCAAUCGACCCUCUUGGAAUUUUGGCUCCAAGCACCCUUUACAAUCCUCAAAAGAUACCCCACUCUUGAACAACCUCUCAAGUGAUACCCCAUACUUGAGAAUCUCUAAGUGAUACCUCGCUCUUGAACAACCCCUCAAGUGAUACUCCUCACUUGAAAAUCCCUAAGUGAUACCUCACACUUAGACUUUUCUUCUCAAAGAGUUACAAAUGAUUUCACAAAAUCCUAGUACAAAACUUUAGGCUCAAAUGAUACAAGAAAACUAGGAUUGAAUGAUGUACUAAUGAUAUGCAAGUUUUAGAACAAUGGUGCACUAAACAAAUACUCUCCCAAGGCUUAAAUAUAUUUAAGAAAGGUUUAGGAAGGUUAAAUUCAUGAAACAAUGAAGAUUUGGAGCCUUUUUAUAGAAGAAAAAUGUCAAACUAGCCGUUGGGGGUUCAACCGGUCGAGCUAGGGGUCGACCGAUUGACUAGCCAUUAGCAUUUAAUGCUUGAAAAGUGACCAUUGGACCUCGACCGGUUGAGGUUUAACCUUGAUCGAUUGAACAACCAUUCUGGAAAAGAGAGAAGGGUUUUUUGCACCCCUCGACCGAUUGAGUUGGGGGUCGAUCAAUUCCUUAUCUGGUUCCACCGAUUGAGUCAAUUUUGGCUCAACAACCAACUUUUUCAACUUUAAACUUUUUAAACAAGUUUGAAAAUCAUUUAAUACAAGGUUUUAGUUGAAAACAUGAAACCAUCCAAUUUUAAAGGAUUUAAAAUGAAAAAAACUCUCGGAUGAUUUUGGUGCAUAAGUAAAGAAUGUAAUGCAUGAAAAUCCUAGUGCACCAAUAACCUUACAAAGAGAUCUUAUGAAGCUUGGGUCUUGAAAAACACUUCUCUUUGAGGUUUUCUUCUUCUUAAUGAUUUCUCUUUGGCUUGUUUUGUAUUUAUGAUUGCCACUUUGAAAAUCAUCUUGCCUAAUCACACUUGAAAAAUAAUCAUUAGUUCUAAACCUUGUUUUGUUAUCAUCAAAACCAAGAUUAACCAAACCUUGGUUUCACACAAAUGUAUUCCCAAACAACCUAACAACUAUAUAUAAUCUUGUUAUUUUGUCAAAUAUAUCUAAAAAAAGGAUAGAUAUUUACCCAAAAAUAACCAAAUAUCAAGUAGUUGUACAUGAUAACAAAAACAUAUGCGUGAUAUUUUCCUCUAAAAAUUGCAACUACUGCAAAUGUCACCUAACCUCUGGCAAGAAAGAAAAAGUAACAUUAUUUUUUAUUUGUGUUUGAAAGUUCAUUAAAAAGAUAUAAAUAUGUAUCAUAAAUAUAUCGAAAUCUAUCCACAAACAACUUAGAAAGUAUACAUGAUCUUUUACUAUUAUUAAAUAUAUAUAUAUAUAUAUAUAUAUAUAUAUAUAUAUAUAUAUAUAUAUAUAUAAGAUAUUUACUAAAAAAAGAACCAAAAAUUAAAUAAUUAUGCAUGAUAACAAGAACUUAUACAUGAUCUUGUACUCUAAAAAUUGCAAGUGAUACAAAUGUCACCCAACCUCUUGCAAGUAAAAAAAACAAUAACAACAUUACUUUAUGUUUAUGUUUCAAAUUUUUUUUAAAAAAAAGAUACAAGCAUGUACCCAAAUAUAUCCAAUGUGUUAACAAACAACCAAGCAACUAUACAUGAUCUUGUACUCUUAUCAAAUAUAUAUGUGUGUGUGUGUGUGUGUGUGUGUGUGUGUAUAAAUAGAUAUUUACUAAAAAAUCCAUUAGUUGUACAUUAUGACAAAAACUUAUGCAUGAUCUUGUACUCUAAAAAUUGUAAAUGUUGCAAAUAUCACCCAACCUCUUGCAAAUAAGAAAAAAACAACAUUAGUUUUUGUUUAUAUUUAAAAGUACUAAUUAAAAAGAUAUAAACAUGUACCCAAAUACAUGAAAAAAAUAAAAAAAUCUAGCAAUGAACUUUUAGGGAAAAAAAUAUAGAUAAUAUAUGUACCUAAAAAUAUCCAAUAAAAUAAAAAACUAAUCGCAACUCUACAUACAUGAUAGCAAGAACCUAUGCUAAUGUUGUAUUCUUAAAAUUUCAACUACUGCAAAUGUUAUUCAACCUCUUGCAAGUAGAUAAAAAAUCUACAUUACUUUAAGUCUAUAUUUGAAAUUUUACUAAAAUGGUAUUAACAUGUACCAAAAUUUAUGCAAAAAGAAUCCAACAAACAUAAUAAUAAUAAUAAUAAUAAUAAUAAUAAUAAUAAUAAUAAUAAUAAUAAUAAUAAUAAUAAUAAACAUGAAUUGGUACUUUCAUCAAGUGUAUUUUUUAAAAGAUAUAGGUAUGUACCCAAAAGUAUCCAAAACUUUAGUAUCUAUGCAUGACAAUAAGAUCUUACGUAUGAUCUUGUAAUCUCAAAAUUGCAACAACUGCAAAUGUCACCUCAUACCUUGCAAAGAGGAAAUAUGCAAGAUUAAUUGAAAUUUAUGUUUGAAAUUUUAUUAAAAACAUUAUAAAAUUCAUAUACCCACUAUACUUGGUCUAAGAUAAGAGUGCUAAAAAAUGAGAUCCAUUCAGAUCUCACUUCAUCUAACUCAGCUCGUGAAUAGGUUUUUUUCUUUUCAAACUAAAAUAUAUGACAAGAGAAAAUAUGUUCAUGUGAAACAUUAAAUAUAUGUAUAAGUUCUCAUGUACUUAUGAAAAUACAUAGGUAAAUAAACUUGAGAUGUUAGGAGACUUCUAUUUGCUAUUAUGUUUUGCAUCUAUCUCAUGAUAAAAUAUCAUCACAUGACACCAUCCAACUGUUUGGGCCAUCAUGAGCAAAAUUAUAUCAACAAAAUUUCACGAUCAAAUAUGACACCAUAUAAAUUUGGUCAAAUUUUUCAUCCUUCACAUUUUUAAUUUUAUAAAAACAAUGAAUGGCAUAAUGUUAGUUUCAAGUAAAAUUUGCACCUAAAUUAAGUUAAUGCAUAUCUAGCAUUAUACCCUAAGCUCUCAUGUUUAAAACUUGGAGGGUUAAAUUGGGUAAAAUAUAAGAAUGUCAAAUAACAUGUAUAUGUGAAAUAUGGACAAAAAAAGGAAUAGAUAAAUGUAAUGAUUAAUUAUAUUUAUUAAGAAUAGUGAUUAACUUUAGAAUAAGAGAAUAGUUAACUUUUGUCUGUGUGAGAAUAUCCCUUAGAAAAGAUCAUGACUUUUAAGACUUCAUUAAGGUAAAUCAAUCAAGCUUCAAGAGCAAUUAUCGAUAAUAUAUUUGGAAAUAUGUAGUAUAAGCCUCCUUUUACAUCUCAUAGAUUGACAUUAUAGAAGAGAAAUACAAUUAAUAAUUAUAAGGAAUAAAUGUUUUACAUAUGAACAAUUUGAUUGAAGAUGGAUAAAAGAGUAAAGAGUUUAGAUUAAAGGGAAAGAGAGAGAGAGAGAGAGAGAGAGAGAGAGAGAGAGAGGUUGUGCCUUAUAGGAAACGUCUAAACUAAAUAUAGGAUGUUUAUAAGACAUAUUAAGGCCAAAAGAAAGAUAUAAAGAACAACUCAUACCUAAGUAACAUGAUCAAAGCUAUCUAAAAGAUCCACAGUGUUUCCUUACCCACACACACAUCUAAAUGGUUCUAAAGGAUUGUAAAUGCUAUGGAUAUAGUGAUCAAAAUUUAAUAAUUGUUCUUCCUAUGACCAACAUUUCAAAUUGACUAAUUAUGUAUACAUUAAUUUUUUUUAUGCUUGAAUUUUCUAAGGUUUGAUCUUCCACAUCAGAAUACAAUUGAAAAAAGUCUUCUACUCAUGCAUUUUUAACAAAAAAUUUCCUAUUUUUCUUUUAGUUGCUAUUACUAUUUCUUGAAAUAUUAAUUGUAAAAGGUGAAAAUGGAUCAUAAAUCUUUCAAUCACAUGAAAAAACAGGUUUGUUCCUUUUUAGUACUACUUCAUUACUAGUGGAAUAAUGGACAUAUGAUUACAUUGUAUUAAUAGCAAUUUAGAUUAUAUUUUCAUAAGGUGGUGAAACAAACAUAUAUCGUAUCCUUUUCAACUCAAGUUAGGAAUAUGAAAUAAUAACAAAAACAAUUAUAAGCUAAAAAAAUUCAUAUAUAUAUAUAUAUAUAUAUAUAUAUAUAUAUAUAUAUAUAGUGUGGAUCCCGCAUUUUGCACGAUGCGUUCCCAUUCGAUGGCGUGACUCGCUUUUUUAUUUAUUUGGUGAAAUUUUGAUUUUUUGGAAAAAGACUUAGAGUCGCCUCUUAUUUUUGUUUUAUUUUUUUUAAGAGAAUAAAAUAAGUAAGAAAACCCUAAAGGUGACUUAUUAUUUGAAAAAUACAGUCUGUAGAAAACAAAAGUCAAGUCUGGGGGUCAGAUAACCUAUUGGAAAGGUAUGGUGGUGAGUUGUAGCACCCGUCUAAGUCCUAUAAUAAGGUUUAUACUAAAUAAAGUGAGACAAGUGUGGCAAUUGAUAAAGAAAUCAAUGGAUACCAAUGAAAUUAUCAAAUAAUAAUGAGCAUAAGAACAAAUAAAUAAAUGAAGUAGGAGUUUUGAAGAAUAAAUUUGGAAAAAAAAAAAACUGGAGUUUUGAAAAUUAUUUGGAAAUUGGAGUUUUGAAAAUUAUUUAAAAAUUAAACUUGAAAAUUAGAGUUUUGAAAAUUGAAGUUUUGAAAAUUAAAUUUGAAAAUUGGAGUUUUGGAAAUUAUUUGAAAAUUGCAGUUUUGAAAAUUAUUUGGAAAAUCGGAAUUUUAAAAAUUAUUUAAAAAAAGAUUUGUGAAAAAAAAAAAAACUGGAGUUUUGAAAAUUAUUUGGAAAUUGGAGUUUUGAAAAUUAUUUAAAAAUGAAAAUUGAAAAUUAGAGUUUUGAAAAUUAAAUUUGAAAAUGGGAGUUUUGGAAAUUAUUUGAAAAUUGCAGUUUUGAAAAUUAUUUGGAAAAUCAGAAUUUUAAAAAUUAUUUAAAAAAGGAUUUGUGAAAAUCAAAUUUUGAUGCAUGAGGAAAAAGAAUCAAAAAGGAUAAGGGCACGUGAACUUCAAGGAUGGCCCACCAAAGGUGGCCAUGCACGGAGAGCUUUUAUGCAUGUGAGACGAGGAUACAUUGAAAUUCUUCCAAUUGGGGUUCAGGAUGCCUUAUAAGGUCAAGAUGUUGUUAGAUAUCUAGGAUUCAUUGGCUGAUUUGGGUCAAGACAUUAUCAACAUUUUAUAACAGGGGUUCUUUUGACAUUGUGCUGAGUCUACUUAUUUUAGUUUUUUCACCAUGAGGGUUGUCAUGAUUUUUAAUCAUCUUCCCAAUGUCAACAUUUUGCAUCUGCCACAACUGAACCCACACAUUGAAGGGUAUCAUUUAUUCUUAAAAUUUGAAGUGCCCCUACUCAAAGCUCAUGACUACUGACUUUGCCACUUGUGAAAAAUUCCAUGCCACUAUUGACUUGUCAUUCACCAUUUGCUUGCACUGUGCUCUAUGUUAUUAGUGAGUUACCAGCUCUUAAAAGUGAAGUAAUGAAUCUCCACUUUGAUAGAAGGCCUAGGUUCUCCAUGAAUUGCAUCAACUUGCUGCCUAUUUACACCUAGCAGCACAUAAGUCACCAUGUAGGACUUCAUUCCAAAGGCCCAGUUGGAGUGUUAAAAUAUACCCUGUAUUUGCUUCCAUUAUGACAACAAUGCCCUUACUGGGUAGUGCUCCUUCUGGAAUCUGGUUGGAAGAUAAGUUGGUCUUAUUUCUGCUUGAUGGUUCAAAGCUUUCUUUCUAGGAAUUGUUCAUUAUUCAAAAGCGUGAAAAUAAUAUGCAAGUCCUCAUCUUCAGCAACUCUUUUUUGCCACUACAUUGCUCAUUUCUUCCUUGAUGCCCAUCCUAUCUCGGAACAUUGCUAAAGCAAUCAAGCACUUACCAUGGAGAGGAUCAGCAGCACACAUUAUGUUCUUUGCGUCCCAUGUCUAUCGAGUGAGCUCUGGGACGGUAAAGGUGCGGUAUUGCUGUAACCCAUAGGAUGUGAGUGGUGCAAACCUGACUGAACUUCGAGCUUGACGAGGCCAUCUUUCUGACGUUGAAUAGAAGCCUCUCAUCAAUAGCAAUUCUCCAACCAAAGGAAAUGAGGAAGAUCACCACACACUACUUUAGGUUGACAUCAAAAUCCUUCUCUCUGUAUGAUCUCACAAGACUCCACCUCUACUUCUUUGGCAUAAUGUCAAGGUGGGAUGGUGCCGAAGUCGGCAAUAGCAUUGGUGAGUUAGCUUUCUUUAGGUCGAGGAGCUCGCAAAACCACUUGAAGGUUGUACCCAUUUGUCAGUGCUGAAAAACAACUAGUAAUUUUGGGUAUAUGACUUAGGGUUGCAUUUUCGAAAGCAAUCAAAAGAAAUGGACUAAAAUUAUAGAGGUUGUGGAGUACAAGGAAUAUCCAACAAGUUUUCAAAAGAUAUUUAAACUUCCAGAUGGUUUUCAAAAUAAUGGUAGGAAUUUUUUGAAAAAAAAAACAAUGAGGGGUCCCGAGAAAUAGAGCAUGCUCUAAACAAUCAAUUCAUUAAACUAGACCCCAUUUCAUGUUAUAGUCAAUGGAUCUAAGUAGGUGGAAUGAAUAAUGAGGAUUCGUAUGAUUAAUCAAAUAUUAAGCUCAAAGAAAACAAUCCAUAUAUCAAUCAUUUAUAGGGGGAAUAAAAAAAACUAGAAAGUGAACAAAAUAUAGCAAGUAUGAAAUGAACUCAGCUUCAACAAAACCCAAUCCACAACAAAUGAUGCUCAAGUAGCAAGGCAAAAUGAUGAAAAGCAAUGAAAAUGAGAAAAAAUGAAUAAGAGAUUUGCAAAGAAUCCAUACCUGAGGGUGUUCCUCUAAUCCUCUAAAAGCCUCCUCAUUGAAAGCCUUUUUUUUUUCCCAGCUAGUACCUACCCCAUUUUCCCUGCCUAACUCACUCUCAUUUUCUUCCAAAAAACCCCUUGUUUUUGCUUCCUCUCCAAGCCUCUACCAAUUCUAUUGCUUACUGUUUUGAAAAAAUGUUACCAUCCUCAUCCACCACCAUGGCAAGGUGGUAGUGUUGUCUUUGCCACAUGUCUCAACAGCUUGCUCACCCUUGGAAGUCGUCCUCCACUCCUAAAUAAAAUGCCCAACUCUUCCUGGUCCAAAUAGGAGUCUACAUAUAGGUAUAUAUUCAUGUGAGAGAAUUCCAUAUAGAAUCUUUACAUUUCAAAAAUCAAGUAAAUUUUAAUUCAAGAAAGCAACUUAAAUGUAGGUAAGUCUUCAAAAAGUUAGAAAAUGAACAAAAAGUUUAGGAGAAGAAAAAAAUGUAACCUCAAUAACUAUCCACUUUAGCUCUUUUUUUAUAUCAUUUCUUCUUUUGAGAUACAAAAAUUCGAAACCCCCUACAAAAAAUAAGAUUACAUUAGUGUUCAUUUUGAGACAUGAAAACUAAAAUUAUGGUAGACUUACAUGUUCACAAUAUCUUUUAUAUCUUGGUAUGGCUGUUGUAGUAGCGAGUAUAAAUAGUAGAUUGUUACAAUAUCUUUUAUAUCUUCGUAUGGCUGUUGUAGUAGCAAGUAUAAAUAGUAGAUUGUUUGUGAUUUCAGGUCAAUUACAGCCAAAACCCAAUGACUCCUACAAUAUAUUAACAUGCAAUUUAGAUAAAUAGCAUUUAUAAGACUAAAAAAUUAAAAACAAUUAUGAUUAACAACUUACUUUGGGUUAUAUUGAAGAAAAUCAGGUUUUCCAAUUUAAAGUCAAUUAGGCGAUCAACAAUGAACCUUGCUCUUUUUUCAAUUUAUGAGGCUAUUAAUCUAGCCUUGGACACCAUUCCUGGACGAACAAAUAUAAUUUUCUCAUGUAGUGUAUUAUCCCAAUGUUCAUGCAACUACCUAAUGAAAUGUCACCCAAUUUAGAAUUACUUAAAAAAAAAAAACUUCUACUUAUUUAUAUCAUGAAUGUAACAUAGAGAUUUACAACAAAAUCUCACCAAAUAUAGAAACAUAUACAAUUCAUAGUCAACUCUUUUUGCAGAAAUUACAUCCUUCAUUUUAGUUGAGAAAGGAUUGAAAUUUCAUCCCAAAAACAUUGAUUGGAAAGUCAACUUUGAGUGCCAAUUUACCUUCCAACAUUGCUGAAACUGUUUUAGAAAACAGCUGUAUAUCUCUAGGAUUUUCAUAUUUGAUUUUAUUUGGGGAUGUUUGUAUUUUCUUCAUUUUAUUCUUCCUUUUUCCAACAUCCUAAACACAUAUAAAUAGAUGCAUGGCAUUAAAAUAAAAAUAAAUAAACCAAGAGUGUAGGAAAAUAUAACACAACUUCGAAAGUUUGGGUAUAAUGUUAUUCACCUCAUCAUUUUCAUCAUCUAUCACAAAUGCAACAGGCCACAAAACCUCAUAUCCAAUACCCUCCCUUGUUGUACUAAUGUUUCUAGAAAGUGAGAAUGGAAGAAGUACAUUAGGUUGAAGAGGGUAAAGGAUGACCACUAAUAUAUCAGUACCGUCAAUGGAAAUCUUUGAAUCCCAUAAAUAAGUUCCAUAUGCAAUAAUGUUCUCUUCAGUUUCAAGAGCUAAUUUGCAUGUAAAAACAUAUUUUGUAAUCCUUAGUCUUUCAUUUUAGUUAUUUUAUAUAUUAUUUUUAUAAAUUUAGUUUAGGAAAAGCCAUAUAUAUCUCAGUUAGUGGAGAAGCUUUUCAAGUCCCUUGUGAUAGGAUGCUCUCCACAUGAGCACUAUAAUGAGUCUCCCUUCGUAUUUCUUCAUGUUGCAACAAUUGUUUCCUUAUGUUUGUGCUGCUCACUUUAGAGUGGGGUGUGAGGGCUUUUUUUUUUCUUUUUUUCUUUUUUUCCAGCUUUCAAAGCAAUAAUCUUCUCUUCCAAGCUUUUUACUUUCUCCCUUAACAUCCUUUGACAUUCUUCUUCUUCAAGAGUUUUUGUGGGUUUUGGUGUGUUGAAGAAUUGUUUGGGUUUUUUUUUCUCACAUUUUCCUCUAACCCAUCCAAGAUGCUCCAAUGUAUCCAAUGCUAAAGUGAGAAUAUCCUUUUGGCCAACACAUGUAAUCUUCUCUUCCUCAACAACCUUUGCCAACUCAACCUAUAAAAAAAUAUAAGAUGCUUCAAGAGUCAUAUUAAAUAAAUAAAUAAAAACAAAUGAAAUUGACUAAAACUAAGUAUAGGUUUGACAACUUAUAAUAUUUUCCGCUAUAGGCCUCGUAACAUCAUCAUAUAUACAUUUUUUCAAUCUUUCUAGUUUCCACAAGACCAAUCUAUCAAUAGUUUUCCUUGAACCUAUCUUUUGCAUCUAUCAAUAAACAAAAAAGUGAAGUAAUUAAACUUUACAAAAGUAAAUGUCCAACAAAAUAAAAUACAUUAAUUCAACUUACCAAUUCUUCCUAAAGUCCUACAUAUCAUUUCCUACUCACUCGAUGAAUAUAGACGUAUUUUGCCCUCCUUUCUUUUCCUUUUUAAAUUUAAUUUGAAACUCUAUUGACAGCCUAUUAGCCACUAACUUUCUCCAGUCUUCAAUUGGAAUGUAAUUAUAUUCAAUUGGUGGCUCUAAAGGGUACUAGGGCUUAUCCUUAUAAGGCAAGAUAUACUCUUUCAUCAAUGUGUGCUUGAAUGACCUAAAACUAGUCCUAAUGGAUGAUAUGAUGUUGUAUUUGCUAUUCUCGUCAACUAAGAAUGCACCCUAAAAUAUAAGACCUUGAUUAUUUAAUAAGCAAGUAAGGUUUACACAAAAUAUAGGAAAAUAAUUUCAGUAGAUUACUAUAUACCUUAUAAGAAGAUCUUGAUUAUUUAAUAAUCAUGUAAGGUCUACACAAAAUAUGGAAAAAUCAUUUUAAUAGAUUACUAUAUACCUUAACGCAAUCCCAUAAUUUCUCCUUCAAUUCCAUAGGCACUACUUUCCAAUCAAUAUGAUAUAUUGGUACCAUGGUUUGUGCUAGCACGCCCAAGUAUGAUACAAGUUGUACAUAUUCCUCACCCACUCCUUCACCAUCAUCAUUAUAUUGAAUAUCAAUUUUCACUUCUUCACUUCUCUUUUUAGCAAUUUCAAGUUUUAAAGUUGGGCCUUUUAACCUUUUUGGUAAAGUAAUCUUCUAUUUUCCUUCAUUUUCAUCCAUUUAUAUGACAAUCAAAAGAAUAUUAUUAAUCUCAAAAUACAUACAUACAUACAUACAUACAUACAUACAUACAUAUAUAUAUAUAUAUAUAUAUAUCUUACAUUCAAAAGUAAAGCAUGAUAUUUUAAUAGUUACCUGUUCUUUAUCUCUUCUUGGUGGAGACAUCCAUAAAGAUGUAUCACUUUUCUCCCAAGUUCCCAAAUAAUUAAGAAUUAUGCAAUAAUAAACAACACUUGAAAAUGUAUCUCAACUACAUAAAAAUAAAUUAGUUACAAAUAGAUUUCAUAAGUAGGAAUAAAUCAUUGUUGUACAAACUUUGCAAUAUAUGAAAAUUAAUCUUAAAUCUCGAUUAUGAAAUAUGCAUAAAAUUAAUAGGAUAAUCUAUUGCUAACCUCAACAACAUAUCAUUGAGUUUAAAGAAAAUUACAUGACUUAUCUUAUAAACACACACACACACACACACACACACACACACACAUUCUAUCAUUAUAGCUUAGUUAAAUUACAUCUAUUUUAGUCACUACUAUUGUAAGGUCCUAGUUGGAAUGCACGCUUCUAGUUAGGAUGCAAUACUCAUAAAAUGAAGUUUAAGGGUGUGGGUUGAGGAUGCAUUGCAAGGUGUUUGAUUUUCCUACUAUUAAGCAUAUAAGCAUUGAUAAUAUGUAAUGAGAUGUGGUUUCCUUAACUUUAAUGAUUCUAGGAUAUAUGGCUUCACUUACGCAAUAUUGAGGAUGGAGUAAUGUCACUAAUAGUUAACAAUAACAAACCAAAGACUAUGUUCAUUGAAGCUAAAUAAAUUGAAGAUGUUCUCUAAUUUGACAUAAAGUAAAAAAUCCACCAGAUUCACAUUAAUGAAACUUUAUUCGAAUUUUUUAAAAUUAAUGUUAUUCAAUUACACAAAAUUUUCAACUUGAUCAAUUAUCUCUCAAAAGAUUUGUUAUCUAUCAUAAACAAGUGACCUAAAACAAAGGAAUGACCAAGAAAAUAAAAAUUAUGGUAUUCAUAGAUCGUUUCAGUUGGAAAUAAGAAUAUUCAACUAUUACAAGGAUCAACUUCAUAUAGGGUAGUUUGUUAUUAUGUUUAUAGUUAAUUCAUAUAUGUUAUUUAUUAAUGUUUCAAAUCGGUUCAUUAUGGGUUGGUGGAUUCAAUCCAUCUUCCCAUAAAACUUUUUGCUUUGUUUUACACAGUACAUAGUUUAACACUUUGAUUUAAAGUUUUUAAUUCAAAUCCAUGGAAAUCUUCAAUGGGAAUACCCCUUAAAUUAUUUAAAAUUUGAAUUGAUAUGAAAUAGGUAAGUAAUGGCUCUAUCUUGUCUAAUAUGAAAUUAAACUUACAAUAUCAACAUAUAAGCAACAUUUAUUUAACUACAUAUCAAUUAAGCUCAAAUGAAAGUUCAAACUAUUCAAUAUAUAAAAAUAUGAUACUAACUGCAUUUAUUUAGAAUAGAUUAGCAAGUAUAUAAUAGUAAAAAUAUAUUUAAUAGGAAUAAAAUAAAAACAUAACAUUGUUGAGCAUCACAUUGUAUAUUAAAAAUAACUCAAAAAUCACAUAAUACACUAAGUAGUCACAAAACACAACAAAAAAAUAAAAUUAAGCUUAAUGUUUAAUCCAAAUCCCCUCACAAUCAGUACGCAUACAAAUUUCACCAUAAUCUUCAACUUCAUCAAAAGACUUAAUAUUAGACAUCCCAUUCGCAAAUGGGUGAUACUCCAUACAAUUGUUGGCUAUGUUGUCAUCACCUUCUUUGUCGAACAACUCUAUUUUUGGCCUUGAUAAUACAAUAGACCAUCUUGGAUCAACUUGAUCUUCUACAUAAAAUACUUGUUGGGUUUGCGUUGCCAAAAUGAAAGGAUUUGAUUUAUGUCCUAUCUUGCAACUCAUGUAAACCCAAGCUCAUUAACUUUGACACCAUUCUUGCUAUCAAUCCAAUCACACUUAAAAACACAAAUGUUAAACAUGUUAUAAUCAAGAUCCCAUAUCUUUAUGACAAUCCCAUAAAAACACAUGUCACCAAGCACAGGAUUCUUAUCUUUGGCACUUGCAACUUUCAUGGUCGAUGCCACAAUACUGACGUCACUAUUUUGGUUGACUCGUGCCUCAUCACGGUCCUUGAUAUGGUAACGACAACCAUUAAUGAUAUAUCCAAGGUAAGUAAGUAAGAACUUGUUGUCUUAGUCCUUGAGCAAGCUACUUAAGUUCCUUUUCUAUUGUUUCUUUCUUACUUAUGUCAUUUGAAACCUAAAAGGUUCAUUAAUGAUAUGUAAGUCAAUGUAAUUUAAAUUUUGUAAGCAUUAAAUUUUAAGGGGAGCAUGAAUAUUGAGCUUCAUACAUUUUUUUCUAAGCCAAUAACUAAAUGUGCGCACAUGUUCAUCCUCUAGCCACUUCACUCUCUUUGAUUGACAAGGAUAUUUUGUCUUCAAAUAUUUCAUAUUUUCAUUAUCAAGUAAAAAUAGGCAAGUCAUGGUGUGUAUAAACAUUAGCUAGAGUUUCAAACUCAUAUAUUCACAUAUAUGACACUUACUCAAUAAAAGGUUGUACAAUGGUUGUAUUUUGUAGAACAUAAUGAUGUGCUUGCACCACCAAUUUAUAAUCAUGAAUAGUUAUUGCACGACCACCAAGUAAUGGUUUCCCACAUUUCCAUUCAUCUUUCAAAUGGGUACAUCCAUCUCAUAUACAUUGGUCCACAUAAUCUAACCUCUCUUACCAAAUGCACUGUUAAAUGAAACAUGAUGUCAAAGAUGGAAGGUGGAAAAUACUUCUCUAGCAAGCCCAAAGUCACCACUAUGCCCUGUUGUAGAUCAUUCAACCUUGACACGUCCAUCACCUUUGCAUAAAGUGCAUUAAAGAAAAAACGCAAUCUUGUAAUGGCAUAUCUAACAUGCUUAGGCAACACGGAUCUUAUUGCUACUGGUAGUAGUUGUUGCUUAAGUACAUGAUAAUCAUGGGACUUAAGACCACUAAGCUUUAGCUCUUCCAUGGACACAAGGUUUUUAAAGUUUGAACAAUAAUCUUCAGGAACCUUCAAAUAAGCUAAAGUUUGCAAUACUAUUUUCUUUUCCAUACAGGGGGAAGAUAAGUUCGCUUUAACCCAAACCUUGGUGCUAAGUCAGGCCUUAAGCCCAUUUCGAGAAUAUCAAGUCGAGACUUUACUCCAUCAUUUGUUUUACCUGAAAUGUUAAGCAAAGUUCCAAUGAUGCUCUCGCAAACAUUCUUCUUUAUAUGCAUGACAUCCAAGUUGUGUUGGAUAUAAAAAUAUCUUCAGUAUUCAAGUUCAAAAAAUAUAGACUUCUUUUUCCAACAACUUGUAGGAUUAGUAAAGGAUUCACAUUGUUUAACCUUUUUUUUUUAUUUCCUCAUGAGUUAUGAAUCAUAUCAACCUUCUAAAUAUUUCAUCUCCAGUAAGUUCUUUUGAAGGUAAUCUAAACUCUUGUUCACCAUUAAAUGCCUUCUUUUGCUUUCUAAAUGGAUGGUUGCAUGGAAUAAAUCUUUUAUGGCUGGUAUAUGAGUUCUUAUUCCCAUGUUUUAGCUAAUGUGAAUUUGUUUCUUCACCACAUAUUGGACAAGCAUAAUAUCACUUAAUGGUGCAACCAGACAAGUUCCCAUAUGUAGGGAAAUCAUUAAUCGUCCAUAACAAAAUAACAUUUAAUGUGAAGAAAUCUCGUUGAUGUGCAUCACAGGCUUUCACCCCUACCUCCCACAAUGUUUUCAAAUCAUUGACUAAUGGUGCUAAAUAAGCAUCAAUAUCAUUACUAGGUUGUCUUGGUCUUGAUAUUAGCAAAUAUAACAUCAUAAAUUUCCUUUUCAUGCAUAACCAAGGGGGAAGGUUAUAAGUUAUUGUGAGAACAGACCAAGAACUAUGCUUACUAGUCAUGGAGCUAUGAGGAUAGAUACCAUUUGCUAAAAUAUCAAGUCUAAGGUUCCUACAAUCUAAAGCAAAUUCAGGCCACAUUUGGUUCACUAGUUGCCAUGUUGGGGAAUCUAUUGCGUGUUGAAUUUUACCAUUAUUUUCUCUUCCUUGUGCAUGCCAUUUUAGGUUUUUCACUAUUUUGGGAGAUUGAAACAUCCUCUUAAACCUAGGGAUGGGUGGGAAAUACCAUAACACUUUUGUAAGAAUCCUCUUAAUAUUUCUUACCCUUGCCUUGUUUACCUCUCACCUUGAUAUUCCACAAGUAGGACAUGAAGAUGCAUCAUUUAACUCAUUCCUGUAUAGUAUGCAAUCAUUUGGGCAUGCAUGUAUCUUUUUGUAUUCCAUCCCUGAUGCAUUCAAUGUUUUCUUAGCCUCAUACAUGGAUAAGGGCAUCUCAUUGUUCACCGAGAGCAUAUCCUCUAAUAUUUGGAGUAAAUUUGAAAGCUUUUAUCUGACCACCCAUAUCAUGCCUUCACAUUGUACAAUUUAAUUAAUGCAGGAAGCUUUGUGAACUUUAUACUAGGACAUAAAGGUUUUUCAGAAUCUUCAAGCAACUUUUUAAAUGACAUCGAGUCUGUCAUGAACUCACCUUCUAUAGCAUGAACCAUUUCUACUGUACUAGUAACGUCACCACAAUCCAUCAUGUCAUAACAUUGUGCCAUUUCGGUCAGUUGUCUACUAGUAAGACAACCAUGCCAAUACCAUGUACGAUAACUCUGGUCAAUACCAUUGAAAAACAUAUGUUCUCGAAUCUUGUUAGGUGUAUGAUGUAUUAAGUUUCCACAUCGCAUACAAGGACAACAAAUUCCACUUUGAUUCAGACAAUGUUCUAAUGCAAAAUUAAUGAAGUAUUCAACUCAUUCCUCAUACUCCCUUGACAUUCUAUCUUUAGACAUUCAACUUCAAUCCAUUCUAUGAUUCAAAUACACAAUGAAUUAAUCAUGAGGAAUUUUAACAUUAGAAUCAACUUGUUAAGAGUAAGGGCUCUUGUUCCAUGCAUUAGACCUUCUUUUUUUUUGUCUACAAAAGCUAUUGUUUUAACUCUUUUGAAAUGUUAAUGUUGUAUCAUAGAUCAAAAGGAUUCAUCAUGUAAUAUAUCCAUGUUGUCUACAAGUAUAUCAAAGUGGGAUAGUUGAUUAUAAAAAUUGUCUUAUUCAAUUCAUGUCAUUGUAGUUAAUGCCACAAAUUAUUAAUUUAAAAUUCCUAUUAAUUCAUGAUAUUUCAUCUUAUUAAAUACAUUUAAUUUCAUUAGGUAUUAAACCAAAGUAAAAAAUGUGGUUCUCUUAUAGAAUUAUGAUCCUAUCUAGUUGAUGUGCUACCAUACAAAUGAGAAAUAAAUAUAUCUUAUAUUUGUUUAAGUCUUUAUUCACUCUCGAAUCGUCAAAGAUCACUUAUUAUGCAUAUUUCCGUAAAAUUAAAAUAAAAUUAUAUAUCAAAAUAUUAAACCAAGAAACAUAAUUAACUCUCAUGAUUCUAUCUUGUUAAACUAAAAUCAACUUAUACUACAUGUCUUAUGCAUUCUAACAUCUCCAACUUCCUAGUUUAGGUGGUGGUUCCUAUCUCAUAUAGGAAUACAUAAUCCCUACAUGUCAACUACUAUUAUGUUUCAUUUCAUUUUAGAAAAUUUUCAGCAACAUUUCCCCAUAGUUCUCCAAGUGCACAAAAUGGAGAAGACAUAUUAUUCAGCCUUGUCCAAAUAUGCACCCAGAGAACGAAAGAAACGAUUGUCAAAAUUUCUAAAAAAUAAACCAAGCAUAAGAGCGUAACUUCAAAGAUAUUAUGUUUUCCUUAUAUUGUCAAAUUGGACAAUUCAAGCAUCAUUUGUAGAAAAAAAAAUAGUAUCAUUCACAUGCUAGACGAAUUUAGAAGUUGUCAACUUUAAACUAGUUCAUCAAUGAACCAUUUUCAUUCUUUGACAACUUAAAUGUCCUUAGCAUGUAAUAAGAGAAAUUUUUGUCAUACAAGGAUGCUAGAAUGGGAAGUCUAAUGUUUCAUGCAUGAACUUAUUUAAAUCAUAUCUAAGUUUCCUAAACACAUUAAAAUGAAAUACAUUUAAAUCCUUUAACAUAUUUGUUAUUUGCCUAGUAGAAGAAAAAAUAAAUAUAUUUACUUGAAAACUCAUGAGUAGAGAAAUUUAAUUAGACUUGGCAACAAAAAAAUAGAAGUUAAUAUUCAAAAUAUAAAGUCAUCAACUUCACAGACAAACCUAUACAUUGAUGAUAAUGUAGGUCAUUUAAGUUUCUAAAAUAAGCAAUAUUCUUUACAAUACCAAUGAGCAAAUUAAAUAAUAAUAAUAUGUAAUAACAAUAAGCCUUUGUCCCUUAAAAAAAAUAGAGAUAGUAAUAUUUUAAAAAGAAAAUGUCAAAGAAUGUGGAGAUUCAUAAUGAAAUGAGUUUAGUCUUUUCAUAACAUAUCCCUAAUUAUAUAUCUUUUUUUUUUUUUUUUUGGAUUUAGUAGGUCACAAGAGUUGUUGAUUCUUAUGAGGUUUAAGGACACAAAGCAUAUAUUAGUGUUAUUGACAAGUUGAAUUUAGUUAUUAGUCAUCAAUUUGAUACAAGUUGUUUUAGUGUUGGAAACAAUAGAGAUCUCGUUUCUUUGAAUGGUCAACUCUACUUGAUUCACAUUAUAUAAUUGCUAAAAGUUUUGAAUACCACAAGUGAUUAUUUAACUGGAAAGAGAGUUUCCUUAGGCAAUAUCCCAACAAUUAUGAAGUGCAUUGCUCUUUUUAUGGCAUCCAAACAUGGUUUCUAGACUUGAAGACCAUAUGAUUUUGAUAUAUAUACCAUUAAAAAAAACAUGGUUUCUAGACUAAAAGACCAUAUGAUUAUGAUAUAUACCUUUAAAAAAUGUUGUAACUCAUUAAAUAACCUCACAUUCAAUGGAAUCAAAUUAAAUCCAAAGUAAACCCACCCACUAGACCAAAUCCACUAACCACCAAAUAACUCAAUUUCAAGUUUGAUUAUUUAUGUUCAUUUUCCUUUUAAAAAAAAUGAAGUACUGAGAAGUUAGAGUUUCAUUGCAAAAUAUAGAGAGAGAUACCAAAGAGAGAAAAGAAUUACCUUAACAAGACUUGUCCCUUGAAAUUGUCCUCUAGUGAUUGAGAAAUUAAAAAGCUAACCCAUGAUUAGGAGGACCUGCAUUUUUGGUACAAGAAGAUAAACUUUUAAACAACAAAUAAAACAUCAAAAGGAAAACAAUAGCUGGAAUAGGCAAAAGUUUUUCUUAAAUGCAAACAAACUUUUUACCUACGUACAAACAGAACAUCAAAUGGAAAUAGUAGUUGGAAUAAGUAAAAGCUUCUCUUAGAUCUUUGAGCAGAGAAUGAAGAGGGAGAUGGAAAAAUAAAUUCCUUAUGUACUUAGAUUGAAUAUCUUUAAAGCAAACAAACAGUGUGGAAAUGAGUCACUAAUGGAGGAAAGUGCAAUAGAUGAAGGAACUAGAGAUAUGCAUACUUAAAUUUUAAAACCUUGAAACCAGCACCUUAAUUGAUCUUUGAUAUUUGAGAAGGAACAUCACUAAUCUCCAUUAAAACUAUUAGUUUUUUUCCCCUUGUUUGCUUGUUUUUUUCUCAUCCAGGUUUCAUGUUUCUUGUUGUACUUUUAGGCUAAAAAAUAAGAUCAUCAUUACAUAUCAAUGCAGUUUGAGAAAGGUUUGUUUUAUUUCUACAAUGGGUUGGAAAUUUUGGACCAUUGUUACAUAGCAAUAAAAUAUUUUAUAAUGAAUUUUGCAAUAAAUAAAUUAGAAUUAUAAAUAUCCAUUUUAAUUUAUUUAUGAUAUUAAUUUUAUAAUAUGUCUCUUUCAAUAAUUUUAGAAUUUUUCAUAUUUUAUUUUUAUCUUUUUUAUAGAUACAAAUUUUUAUUAAUAAAUAAUUUUACCAUAAAAUUUAUCAUAUUUUUUUAAUAAAAUUUUUUAUCAUUGCUUUCAUAAUAAUUCUAAAUAAAAUACUAUUUUAAUUCAUUUAUAAGAAUUAAAUUGAAUCUAUUUAAAUAUUUUAUAUGGAUUUAUAUUAAAAUUAAAUCUCUUUUAAAUUAAAGUUAUUUAGUUUUUUAAUUUACUUUCUAUAAUUAUUAGGAUGUAGGCUACAAAAAUUUACUUUAUUCUUCAAGUUUAUUCUAUCAAAUUGAGACUCAAGCUUACUUAAGUCAUAUUUAUAAAGAGUCAAAGAUGGUAUGGAAACACCACCUUUGAAAUCAUAUGCUUUUAGUUAUUAGACAUUGGUUAUUAAUUGAUGCAAAUGUAUGUAAUAACAAUAACAUAAUUAACUGAAUAUAUAGUUUUAAUUAUAUAUAUCAAAAACGUUUAAAUACAUAGCAACAAGUUUUUAUGGAGUUUUUUUUUUCCCAUUUUUGAAUUUGUUUUUCUCCGCCAAUUGGGUGAUAAUGUUGAAUAUUUUGACUUGCUAUAAGUAGCUAACAAUUUAGGGAUAAUGAUUAGGGAUAUGACAUUUGCUCCACUUCUCCACUAACCUACAACCUAUAAGUAGUUCUCCAUUUCCCCAAGACUAACCUACAGCCUAUAAGCACUUGAUAGUUAGGGAUGAUGAUAACAUGGAUAAUGACAUGACUCCACUACCUCCAAGGCUCCUACUCUAAUUGACAUUGGCUUUACACUUGCAGGAUGAUAGGAUAACAUGUCCAAUUUAUUUUUCAAUGAACUCUUUGUCAUGCUUCUUGCAGUUUUGGAAUUGAUUAAACGUAUACUCAUUCAGUAUCUCACUACCAAGAGCACCAAUUGGAAUAAUGGGAUAUUUUUAAAAAAUUAAAAUUUUUUAAUAUAAAAUAUAUAUAAAUCUAGAUUACAUAACAUAGCAGAAAAGGACUUAUAAAGUUUUAAUAUAACUUUUUUUUUUUCAAAUUUCCUAUUCUUCCAUUUUCUCUUCCUUAAUUUUCUUAACACAUUCUCUCCUCUAAUUUUCUUAACACAUUCUCUCCUCUAAUUUUCUUAACACAAUCUUUCAUUUUAAAAUUUCAAGAUGAAAAUGAAAUUUUAAAUCUUAUUGUAUUAGUCUGUUUUUUUUUUAAAUAGGCAAUGAGGAAGAUCAUUGUACUUUGAAGAACUGAAAUAAUAUAUAUAUAUAUAUAUAUAUAUAUAUAUAUAUAUAUAUAUAUAUAUAUAUAUAAUGGUAUUACAACUUGACCAUUAAACACCCAAAAUUAAAUUUUAAAUAGGGAGGUGCAUUCAUCCAUCUCUUAUAAUUAUUAUAAUAAAUGUAAAGACAAACACAUUUUAUGCUUCGAGAAUCAUAAAACAAAAAGAAAGCUUAGAAAGAGAGAAAAUAAGAAAAAAUAAAAAUAAAGUAAUCUCAAAACCGACAUUUUGUACUUGAAAAGAACACCUUUUGUUCUAUGAGGUAAGACAAGUUAGUCAAUCAUACCGGUAUUUUCUAAUAGUACUACCAUUCAAACUAUAGUUUCAUUUUUAAAAACUAAAAAUUAUUUUUAGAAAUUAACACCAUUAUCAUACAAUUGUUUUCUCAUUAACAUUAUAGGGAGCUUCUUAAGUGCAAAUUUUUGUUUUUUUUUUUAUAAAAAAAAACACAAAAAUAUUAAAUAAAUUAAAAAUGAUAAAAUAGAAAUAAAGGAAAACACAAUACUUUAAAAUUAUGUUUAGCUCCAUCUAGUUUUCCUUUGAUAGUACGUUAAAUAGGAUUUAUAUUUGUUUUCCAAUGAAUUUUUAUUUAUAAUUUAAUAUGGCAUCCAAAUACAAUAACAUAUAAGAAACAUAAUGAAUUUCUACAUCUUAUUUAAUUUCUAUAUCAACAUUUCAAGCAUAAUCCUAAUGAAAACAUUUUUUACCAAGUGAUUAUGUAUAUGGUAACAUGUUUUUUUUCUUACAAUAUUGUAGACCCUUUAUUUUGUUCUCUUGACACAUUCCCUGUAGGAUUGUCCUCCUACAUCCUUUGAUGCUUUAGUGUGCAAUUAUGGUCAUUUUUUGAGUUGUUUUUAAGCUCUUAUUGAUGGUCCACUGAGAUUGUAUUGAUCACUACUUUUGGAUUUUCAAUGAGAUAUUUUGGAGAGAUUAAGUGGAUCCCAAUUUUGUUUGCAGUGACCCUUAAUUCUUAGUUUAGGACUUUGUUUUUAUUAUUAUUAUUAUUAUUGAUUUCUAGCAUAUUUGGGUUUGUUUAUAAUUCUAAAACCUAAAUUCUUACAAAUAAAUUCAUGUUUUAAAAUAAAUAAUAAUUGGUUUCAUUUUCUAUAAAAUAUGAAAUACAAUAAGGGUUUUGAUAAUGAAUUGGAAUGAAUUUUUUUUUAAAGAAUGAUUUAAUAAGAUUCAAGUUUCUUUUGUUAACUUUAUCUUAUAAAUGAUAGAAAUCGAGGUAUUAAUCAAGAUAUUAAAUGAUUAAAUUGAGAAAUAAUAUGUUAAGGUUAUUAAAUAUAUAUUAUAAGAUUUAUUUUAUGAUAAAAUAAUUUUCCUUUUUAACAUCAUAGGAAUCAUAAAUCAAAAUAAAGAUUUGAGUUUAUUAAUAUAUCAAAGCAAUUCUCCUUUUAAUACUUUAUGAACCAAAAACAAAAUUAAAAUUUGAGUUUAUUAUGGUUAUCUAAUUCAUGUCUUAAAAUAUAAAACAAAAAGAGUUGUUUUUUAUAAUAAACAUGCCAAAAUAAUAAUUAUUUUUAGAUAUCAUGAAUCAUGAAUAAAGUUUAUAUGAUAUUACAAUUCACACAUCAAAACAUGAAAUAAAUUAGUUUUCUAAAUCAAAAAUAAAUAUGCAACUUGUAUGCUUUUAUAAAAUAUUUAUACUUAGCUUUCAUAUAAUUUAAAACAUGCCAAACACACCUUAAACAAACCCAUGCAUCAAUGGUCCAUCAAUAGUCUCCAUAGGUCGUUAGCCUAGCUUCCCAUUUCUCUCACCCAUCAAUUGUUCUUUCUUGCUACAACUCAUAUUUUGGAUGGCCCAAAACGUACCUUAACCCAUGAGCCAUACCUAAGGGUCUCCAACGGGCGGGCCGGGCCGGGCCGGGCCGGGCCGAGCUAAAAUGCUAGGCCCGCGGCCCGACCUAUGAGCCCGCGGGCUAGCGGGCUGGCGGGCUGGGGGGCGGGCUGGGCCGCGGACUUUUUUAAAUAAGCCAAAAUGGCUUUUAAAUAAAGGAAGGAAGAGGGGGGGAUUCGAACCCCUCCCCUCAAGCUUAAAUUUCAAGGCUCUAACCAAUUGAGCUACAUUUAUUUUGUGCUUAUUAAAUGAGUUAGUUAUAUAUAUAUGAAAAUAUAGUAUAUUAUUUUUUUUUCAAAAUUAAAGGCGGGCCUACGGGCCGAGUCGGGCCUAAGGGCGGGCCUAAAUUUAGGCCCGCGGCCCGGCCCGCCCAUAAACGGGCUCGGUCCGGGCUUGGGCCCAGCGGGCUUGGGCCCAGCGGGCUUGGGCCGGGCUUUAGCCCAUCGGGCCGGGCCGGGCCUAAAGCGGGCCGCGGGCCGCGGGCUUUUUGGAGACCCCUAGCCAUACCACUCCCUCUUAAAAGCCUAUGUUCUUUUUAGUUGCUCAAGACAAGUACAACACCAGUCAGGCCAUGUCAUACCCCUGCAAAAACCUAUUCUUUAGGCUAUAAAAAAAACCUAUCCCUACCACCUUCAUCAUCCAUCUUUCUUCUGCCACAACCCAUGCUUUGGGCUGCCCAAAACCCAUUUCCGUCAUAAUGAAUAGCCACUCUUUCCGUGUUUGCCAUCCACUCAUUCUCUCUCCUUAUCCUUCCACACAUACACAUUUUGAGACUAGUAAAAAACAAGACUUUCUCUCUUCUUCCUCAUUUUCACUCCUAUUUUCUCAACCAUCACUAGUAAUCUUUCCACAUUGAGCUUCAUAUCACCAUCAAAGCUUUGUCUUCUUCCUUAUCUACCUGCAAAUGCAUAAAGCCUGCUGCCCUUUUGCUUUUAUAUCAUCCAUAUCUAUUUUUCUUCUCCCAAAACUGAAUACCAUAUCUUCACUCAAGCUUCGGUUUCUUUUCCAAAUCAAACACCACAACCCUCAGCUCCACUAAAACCCCAUUUUCAUCGUUCUCCAAUAUGCGCAUCACAACAGCAAAACACAACAUCACACAACACCACUUAGCCUCACUGUGAUUCCAUCUUCUUCUUUCCUUCAAACGGAACACCACAAUAAUUUCAAUAUGCAGCAAAUGAUCAGUGAAGAGGUGGUCGGGAUGGCCCAACUCGAACGUUUUUUGGCUCAUCAUGUCGAACUUAGUUGUCAACUCCAUCGGAAGUCACCACGGGGAUUUCGACAUACAACUAGAGCAAGAUAACCUAAAGGUGGCUGUCAUGAAGAAGAAUGUAAUGCUUUUCGAUAAAGAUGUUUAGAUGACACCACCAAUGAUUACUCCACAUGCCUCUUCAAGCUUGGAGUCUAGAUAUAUAUAUAUAUAAAAAUAUAAAAAAAAACAGUUUGUUCUCUUCCUUUGUUUCUUGGUAACAAAAAUUAAAAGGGGUAAAUAUUUUUCUAUGAAAAAAGUUCAAAGUGUCAUGCCAAUCUUAAGUAACCAGGCUUUUGGUACAUCAAGUGAAUAGCCAUGCCUAUCUAGGAAUAAUAUUCUAAAGACACUCAUUUUGAAUGUUUCCAGGUAUUCCUUCAAAAUCCUAUCCACAAUCUUUUGACAAUGGGCUAAUAUCUCACUUCUAGAUCUAUCCAUCGGUUUCUUGUCAAUGAUAGGUUGACAUACUCUAGUAUGAGGUAAAUGUUGAUAUCUUUCUUCUAUAUCAUGUUCCAGUUGUCUCUACAAGUUUGACCAUCAUUGUGUGCUUAAAAAAAUUGAUCUCAACCUAUUUGAAACAUAAGGUUGAUUUGAACUAGAUCUCUUCCCAACAGGGUGAAUGACUUUGAAAGUGAAGUUUGAGUGGGGUUUUCUUCAACUCGUUUUUUAUUUGAUGUUAAUAAAUCUACCAAGUGAAGCAAAUCAGUUUUUAUGAGAGAUCCAAGAAUCAGAGGCCCUUCCUUGCACAUAUUUUGUGCGAUUUGUUUCCUAGUCCUUGACUGGGAGACAAGUAUUGAUCCUUUUGUUAUGGCCAUAAAUGAUUCGAUGUCAUUCCAAAAAGAAUCCUCUAAGAAACAAUCAUGCUUUUUAAAAUGACUGUUAAUAUGGUUUUUCUCUCUCCCAUUGUAAGUUUUUUUCCCCUAUUUUUCUAUAGGACAAUUUCAACUAUCCAAACAAUGGUAAAACAAUAUACCCAAAAAUGCCAUCUAAAAUCAUCAAAAAGUAUACACCCACAACAAAAUCACUAUGUAGUUUAUUCUUAAUUCUUCUUUUUUCGUUGAUUGUUUGUUUCUCUCCAAUUCUUUCCUAAUUUUAUUUUGGUUUAUCUCCUACUCUUUUUGAGAUUUUAUAGUUUUAUCUUAUCUAAAAAUCAUCAAGGAGUGGAACUUUGAGCUACAAGAGCACAAAAAAUAUUUAGAGGCUUGAGGUGAUUUUUUUUAUAUGUAUUCACAUUUUCUUUAAAGGGAACGAAUUUAUAAUAACAAAGUUCAUAGCCGAAAAAAAGCAAAAAAUAUAAAAUAUGGGGUAGAAGGAUAAUGUAAUUCAUGUGUUUAUACUUGUUUGACCUUUUUAGAUUUGUGAUGUGGUCAAUUUAUUUUCAUUGAUAAUUUUUUUUUAAUCACAUCUUAAAUGAAAUGAGAUUGUUAUAUUUUCAAGUCUUUGUCUAAAUUUAUUAAUAUGAUUGGAUGAACCAUGGAGUAAUAUUUUUGCCUUAUUGGAAUGGUUUAGUUUUUAAUUAUUAUUUAUCACUUCCAUUCUUUGGUUGUUGUUGCAGUUACUCUUGACUUCAUGAACUAUAAAUCAAAUUGAAGUUAUGAAAGUAGUUGAGAGACAAGUCCAAUUAAAAGUGGCAAUUGGAGUUAAUUGAUACAUAUCAACAAGCAUUAACUAAACAAGUCUAUUUUCUAGUGGUCAAAUUAUUGUUAAAAAAAAAAGUUGAUGCUUGAUAUUAAGUGAAUUUUUAUUGGUUUUUAUUAUGUAUUUCAUAGAGGAAUCGUUUGUUGUAUGAGAAAUAGUAUAUUUUCAAUCAUUUCAAACAUUGUUUUUCUUGACUAUAUAUGUUUUUUUGGCACAUACACCACUCUCUGAGUUUUGACCCAAAAUACUACAUUAAAAAAAAUUCCAUAAAAUAAACUUGUUUUCAAAAUAAUGCCCAAUAUAGUAUGUCUGUACCACAUAAGUUGUUAUGUUGUAAAACCGUAGUUGGUGACUAUCGUUUUAUUUUUCUAAAACAAUUAAAAAUCGUAAUCACCAACCAUGGCUUUAACUGUAAAUUUAAAGUCGUAGUUGGUAACUACAAUUUUGAAUUCUUUUAAAAAUGGUCAAAGUCGUAGUCACAAUUAGGGCUUUAACUUUAAUUAUAUAUAUAUAUAUAUAUUUAACUUUAAUUUUUUAAACAAAAAUAUUAUAUUAUUUUGAUUUUAAAUAAAAUUAUCUCAUUAUUUAAAAAAUAAUAAUAUAUGAAAUUAAAUAAUUGAUAUUUUUAAUUUGAUAUAAAAAUAUAUUUUUAAAUUUUAUUAAAACAAUAGGUACUAUAUUUAAUAUAAAUAUAAAUAAAAUAUAAUAAAUUAUAUUUAUUUAAAACAAAUAAAUCAUGAAAGCCUAUUUAAAUAAUAAUAAUAUAAAUUAUUAUAUUAAUUAAUAAUUUUUUAUAUACUAUAUCUAAGUGGUAUAUAAUAUCAUAGCUAUAUAAGUUCAAAUUAAAUUUAAAAUUUAUCAUAUUUUAAUUUCAGUUCAUAAUAUCACAUUGUGUCCAUAGGAUAAUAAUUUAUGAAAAUAUUAUCAUAUUUUCAUUUAAGUUUAUAAUAUCAUAUCGCAUCGAUAUGAUAAUAAUUAUUUAUAUAUUUAAAUGAAAAUAUGAUAAAUUUUGAACUUUAGUCAAACUUUUAUAUAUAUAUAUAUAUGUGUGUGUGUGUGUGUGUGUGUGUGUGUGUGUGUGUGAUAUAUUAUAUACCACUUACAUAUAAUAUAUAUAUAAAAUUAUUAAUUAAUAUAAUAAUUUUUAUUAUUUGUUGUGUGUGUGUGUGUGAUAUUAUAUACCACUUACAUAUAAUAUAUAUAUAUAAAAUUAUUAAUUAAUAUAAUAAUUUUUAUUAUUUGUUUUUUUUUCUAAAUAGGCUUUCAUAAUUUUUUUUAAAAUAAAUAUAAUUUAUUAUAUUUUAUUUAUAUUAAUUUUAAUUAAUUAAUUAUAUUUAUAUUAAAUAUAGUUUCGAUUGUUUUAAUAAAAUUAAAAAAUAUAUAUAUUUUUAUAUCAAAUUAAAACUAUCAAUUAUUUAAUUUCAUAUAUUAUUAUUUUUUAAAUAAUGAGAUAAGUUUAUUUAAAAUCAAAUAAUAUAAUAUUUUUAUUUAAAAAAAUUAAAGUUAAAUAUUUUAAAUGAAACAACAUAAUUUUUUAUAUAUAAAAAAAUUAAAGUUAAAGUCAUAGUUGGUGACUAUGGUUUUGACUAUUUUUAAAAGAAUUCAAAACCGUAAUUACUAAUUGUGGUUUUAAACUUAAGUUAAAACUGUGGUUAGUGACUACGGUUUUUAACUAUUUUAGGAAAAUAAAACCAUAGUCACCAACUACAGUUUUAUGACAUGGCAGCUUAUGUGAUACAGACGCAUUAGAUUAAGCAUUAUUUUGGAAAUAAGUUUAUUUUACGAUUUUUUUUUCAAUGUACUAUUUUGGGUCAAAACUCCCACUCUAUAGAUGUUAUCUAUAGUAAUAUUUGUUUCAUUUUAAUAUAAUCUUGUUUAUAUUUUACAAAUUCAUAACAAAUGAUCAUCAAUACAACAAAAAAUGACAAAAGAGCUUUGUGGAUUGCUAAGCUCUUGCAUCUUGUAUUCUAACAUAACAUCUUGGAUACAUAUUGAGAAACCAAAUAGUUAAUUUAAACAAAUUUCCAUUUUGGGUUUUUUCUCAUUGGUGGACUCCUACAUCAUAUGAUAUCAAAUUUUGGUUAAUAUAGAAGUGUGGAAUUAAAUAACCUUGGACGCUCCACCUAAUGAGCCACAUUUUCAGUUUUAUGAAAUCCCAUNNNNNNNNNNNNNNNNNNNNNNNNNNNNNNNNNNNNNNNNNNNNNNNNNNNNNNNNNNNNNNNNNNNNNNNNNNNNNNNNNNNNNNNNNNNNNNNNNNNNAUUCAUGUUCUUCAACCUUGAGUAAGCAUUCCUUGCACAACUCGAGCUCAAGAUCAAAGAAAUUCUCAUUCAUAUUUAAGGUUAGAUUAUUGACAACCUGAUGCUAGUGGUUUCUAGCAUAUUAUGAGAUCAAAGCAUCCUUAGGACUUAGAUAAGAGAGAAUUAAAAUUACAUAUUUUAUUUCCAAUUUUUUAUGCAUAAAUAUAAAACAAUUUCAUUAUCUUAAGAGUUUAAUUAAUGAAAUUUGAUAUACAAUUUUUAUGUCUUCUCUUGUUGUCCUAAUGGAUUAUAUAAUGGUACUUGUAAACAAUACCAUAGUUUCCUAAAAUAAUUAAGGACCACAUUUUUUUUAAGUUCCAAUUUUUCCUAAAAAUAGUAUAAUGAAUUUUUUUCAUAAUUAUUAUGGUUGCAACAAUAAACAAAAUAAAAGGAAGUCAUGUUACAUCAUUUAAUAAAUGUCAUAAAAAAAUGAAAAAAAAAACAAAAAUUUAAUCCCUAUAAAGUAUAUAUAUUUGCAUGGAGAAUAAAUAUCUAAUUCAAUAAAUUUUCACAAAAAUAUUUCUACUUUUCACAAAAUUUUUAAUUGUGGCAUAUUGUCUUAGGAUUUUCUUUCAAGUUGUUUGUAGAUGGGAAUGGAUCUAGAUAGAAUUGAAAGAAAAAAAAAAUGAGAAGUAAAAUUUUUAGUAUUUACUAAUAUAACCUUGAUAGAUUUAUAAAUGAAAUCACAUUGACUUAUAAAUUAUUUGUCAAGAUAGCUUUUACCAACCUUGACAUAAGAAUAUUUUAACUAGAUAUAUUGACUUAUAAUUUUUCUAUCAAGGUUGUAUUACUAUAAAUUAAAGAAACUUUUAGCAAAUUCCAUAUAUGUCAUGAUUGCCUUUAUUUAGAUAACUUGACAUAUGAAUAUAUUAAUUUUAUAUUGACUUAUAAAUUCUCUGUCAAGGUUGCAUCGUCGUAAGUCAUGGAAUAAUCAUUGGAAUUCACAUGUCAUUAUUUCUUUUAACAAAGUUUUAUAUUUCAUAGUUGCCCAUUUAAAUAAAAAAAUAUUGACAUAUACUACUUUAAGUAAAGAUAAUAUAUGUCAACAAUGACCUUUUUUCUUGUAGCGUAUAUGACUCAUAGCUUCAAACUAUAAAAUAAUUUUAUAAUUGAAAGUUAUGAUGGUAUAUGAAUUUUCUAUUUUAAAAUUAAAUUAUUGAAAUUCUUAAUUUGCUAUUAUUCAAAUUUGAUUUGAUUGUAUCCUCGUUAUUAUUUUUAUUAGCUAUAAAUGUUGAAAUCUCUAAAAUUGUACAUUCCAUUUUAUAAAAAAAUAAAUAAAUUAUAUUUUCAAUACAUGCAUAUGCCAUAUUUAUCACUUAUGUACAUGAAAUAUCAAGUGUUUGAUAAAUUUAUUCUAGUAUAUAUGUCUCACCAAUUAUAGAACAUAUAUAAUAGUUAAUGUCAAUGUUAAUAUAUAUCAAGUAAACUUCAUUAUAGGCUCUAGAAGAGCGAAAAUUUUGUCAUCAAUGACAUACAAUUCCACGUGAAUGAUAUCUUCUAUCUAUCAAAUCCAAUGACCAACAUGUAACCCUAGGUAAAUAAUAACAUAUCAACUCAUCACAAGUCAUAUAGACAUAUUAUAAAAUCAAAAGUUUUUACCUAAUGACUAAUUUAUCUAUACCCCUGAAGAAUAGUAUGACAUUUUGUGUAAAUUAUUAUUUUAAUGAGACAAAUUUUCCUUCUGUUAGGAGGUGGAAGUUGAUUUUAGAAGAACAAUGUAAAAUUUCAAAUUUUAAAUGACCUUUGACAUCAUAAAGAAUGGUAAAGAUUUCAAAUCUUGAAUUCUAUAAGGAUGUUGAUAUAGAAAUAGCUAGCCAAAACAAAAAGAUCAAAUAUACACAAAGUUAGGCUAGAAAUUGUUAUACACACAAAAAUGAGGAGUAUUUAGACCUAUAGUUCAAACACUAGAAAAUUUUGAUUUUGUUGAAUAUAAAUAGACCUGAAGUUUAAUGCUUGAAGAUGUAAAAAUUGUUAGACACCAAUGGAUUAUUAUACAAAAGUGUAAUUGGGAUAAAAUAAAGAUUAUAGCAUAAGGUUUCCUAUAAAGACUUUGUAUUGAUUCUCGUAAUGAUUCAAUCGUAUGAUUUAAGGUCGUUGAAGGACUUGAGAUAUACUUUAUAAUAUAUAUGAUUCAUAAAUAUGUUAAAAUCUCAUAAGGAUUCAAAAUGCAUAAAGAAACCAAGUCCUUGAAUGAUUAACAUGCUUGAAACAAAUAAUUCUCUAAAAGAUUAAUAACAGAAGUAAUAAUUGAAAAUCUUAUAACAUAUUCUAGAUAAUGUCAUAUAAUAUACUUGAUUAAAUUACACCAUUGUAUGGAUUAAAAUGAAGAUUUAUAAUUAUUAAAAUCUUAUUGGAACUUUUGAAGAGUUUGUAAGAGUGGUCAAUUAUAAAGUUAAAGAUCUUGGAAUACGAAAAUUUUAUUUUGGCUUGCAAAUCAAGUAUUUUCCAAAUAAAAUAUUAGUCCAUCGAUCAGUUAGCAUACACAAAAAGUCUUAAAGCACUUUCAUAUGAACAAAUUACAUUCACUUAACUCCCCUAUGAUUGUUUGUUCAGUUAAGAACAAAUAUAUGUUUUAUCCUAAAGAAGAAAAUGAAGCAAUAGGUUCAAAAAAAUCAUAUCUUAAUGCAAACUGGUGCAUUGAAGUAUCUUGCAAAUUGGUGCACUAAAGUAUCUAACAAAUUGUAACUACACACAAUAGCAUUUUAUAUCGAUUUGCUACCAAGAUAAAGUUAUGCCACUCAAAGAAUUUGGGAUAGGAUUAAACAUGUAUUACGAUAUCUUUGUGGAACAACUUAUAUGAGUUUAUUUAAUUUGACAAGUGCAAAUUUAAAUUGUUUAGAUAUAUGGAUGUUGACUAUCUUUCAAACCCUUAUAAAACUUGAUCUCAAAUGAUAUAUAUAUAUAUAUAUAUAUAUAUAUAUAUAUAUAUAUAUAUAUAUAUAUAUAUAUUUACUUAUGCUAGUGCAAAAAUACCAUGUAAAUCAAUCAAGCAAAUAGUGGUAGUCAUUAUUUCAAAUCAUUUAGAGAUACUUUGAAUUCAUGAAGCAAGUCAUGAAUGUGUAUGACUAAAGUUAAUGAUCCAACAUACACAUGAAUCAUGUGGACUAUCCUUUAUCAAAUAUAAUGUUACCAAGUUAUAUAAAGAUAAUGUUGCUUGUAUUUUACAAAUUAAAGGAGGCUUUGUAAAAGGUAAUAAAACUAAGUAGAUCUCCACCAAAUUCUUUUAUACUCACAAACUCCAAGAGAAUGGUGACAUUAAUGUUUAGAAGAUCCAAUUAUGCAAUAAUCUAGUAGAUUUGUUGAUUAAAGUGUUAUCAUCAAUUACAUUAAAAUGUUAAGAUACAACAUUAGAAUGCAAAAAUUGAGAGAUUUGUUGGUUGAAACAUUGAAAAAAACAUAAUCAUGUCUAUAUGAGGGGAAGAAUACUAAUAUGGAUACACUGUACUUUUUUUUUUCCUUUAUCCAAUUUUUGUUCCAUUAAAUUUUACUAGCAAGGUUCUCAACUAGGUCGUUCUAAUUGUCAAAUCAUUUAAAGAAUUUUGUACUCUUUUCUUCUUCUUUUUUUCACUGUAGUUUUUCCAAGUAAGAUUUUAUCAAAAAAUAUUUUUAUGAUCAUCCAAUGGGAAGUGUUAUAAAAUAUAAGAAUUUGUUGUAUUGUGAGAACAUGUGGAUGACAUACAUAUUGAUGUAAAUAUUUUCUUAACUCUCUAUGAAAGGGAAAACCUAUCAAUGAAAAGAUAUUCUAUUUUUCUCUAAAAAUGCCAAUUUAUUCUUCUUUUAAUUUUCCCUUCGAAUUCUUUUAUUUUACUACAACUUGAAGUUAAUAAAUUAUUUUUAAAUACUUCUGUAAACUUGUAUCACUUAUUUAUUUUCUUUGCUAUUUAAAAAUUGAAAAUUUUCUUUCCUAUUUUCAUAGUAAAUCAAAUAUAAAAGAAAUUAUUUUCUGUAAUAUCACUUCUCCUUUCUUUAAUCCUUGCCUGGAAACAUAGUGUAAAUGAAUUUCUCAUUUUCUUUCGCUCUUUCUUUUAAUCAAGAAUUGAAAAGGCUAAGGUUCUAUAAAAGGGGAAAAAAGUUCCUAAUGUUAUAUAUAUAUAUAUGAGUUCUUUUUAGUCUUGUAGACGUAUUUUAAAGUCAUGAUGAGCCCUUUGGGCUUAGAGCGGACAAUAUUUGCAUGAGUGGAUGUGAAUAAUUACAAAUAGUAUUAGAGCCGAUUUCCAAUCCCGAUGUGGGGGUUUGUUUGGACCCUUAAUCCCAUGGGAUACAACGAGAAUGUUGUGUCUGCAUGAGAGAGUGAUUGUAAUGUUCCACAUCGGAUGAGGGAAAAAAGUUUUAAAUGCUAUAUAUUUACGAGUUUUUCUUAACCUUGUAAACACAUUUUAAAGUUAUGAGGACCUCUUUGGGCGCAAAACAAACAAUAUCUAUAUAGUUGGGUGCAAAGUAUCAAAGCCGACCCCCAACACCAGUACGGGGGUUUGUUUAGCCCCUUGAAGGGUGUUUGUUUGUUUAAUCCUACAAUCCAUGAGACACAAUGAGAAGGUUCUCUGCAUUAGGGAAUAAUUGUAAUGUCCUACGUUAGAUAGGGAAAAAAAAAUUCUUAACAUUAUAUAUGUAUGAGAUUCUCUUAACCCUGUAGAAAUGUUUUAAAGUCAUGAGGACUUCUUUGUGCUUAGAGCAAACAAUAUCUACAUGGUUGGGUGGGGAUCAUUACAUGUAUAUUGUAAGAAUAUCAUAUUUGAGAAAUAUACAUUUUAUACAUUUUACUUUAUGAAAGAUCAUAUCUUAUAAGAAUAUCAUAUUUAAGAAAUAUGCAUUUUAUAAAUUUUAAUUUAUGAAAGACUAUACCUCUAAUUAAAUGAAAAUCACUUAGGUUAUGAUGGUGCUCUGACUCUUGAGCUAGGUUUGUUGUUGAUUUGAUCUAAUAAUGCUAACUCGUGACUAGAAGCUUCAUGUGUUGCCCUUGGGUGCAUGCACCAAGGUCCUUGAUUAUGCUCCUCCAACAUUCAAGUUAGAAUUAUACUUAAUAAAAGCUUAUAAGAAAGGAUUGACCUUAAGUUAAGGCGAGGCAUGAAGAAUGAGAGGUUACUAAAGUUUGGAGUUUAGUGUGCAGGAAUAGACUUGACUUGCCUUCAAGGUCUAAAGUUGCUUAUAUAAUAUUCACUUAUAAAUUUGAAGAUUUUAAAUUAAUUAGAGUCUGUUUGGUCGUGUAAUUUAAAAAUAGUUGAAAAACAAAGUGAAAUAGAGAAUAACGUUUAGAGAAUAAGUAGAAGUUUUCACUAGUUUUUAAAAACAUAGAAAUUUUUUAAAAAAUAAAUAAAAUUGAACAUGAUAUCAUUCCCUUUCUCUCCAUGAUUUAAUAUUGAUAUUGUAAAUCUUAAAAUAUGAUAUUCCUUUAAAUUAUACGUACUUUUAAUGAAUUUCUUUUAACUUUUCUACAAUUUUUCAUUAAGAAAAUAAAUUUUACAUCAAAUUAUACUUAAUAAAUAAAAUUUAUUAAUUUUCAAAAAUAAUUUGAAAACUCAAAAAUCGAUUUAAUUAAUUCUAAAAAGAUGUAGAACUCAAUAACAUUAGGUUAUAAACCAAAAUUUAUUUUAAAUGUCUAAGUUAGUUUCUUCUUUACAUAUAUAUAUAUAUAAAUAAAAUGUUAUUAAAAUUAUUAUUAUUUAUUUUUAAUCAAAAAAUUUUAUAAAUAUGUCAAUGUCCUUAUGUUUAUAAUAUAUAUUAAAAUAGCAUUUUUUUUAUAAAAAUAUAAUUUAUAAUUUUAUUAUAAUAUUAUUAUUCAUAUUUUGCUAAAAUUUAUUUUUAAUUAUAAAACUAUUUUUAUUUUUAAUAAGGCCUGAAUUAAAUUAAAUUUAUAUCAUAUAAAUAGAAUUUGUAAUGUUUUUAUAAAACAAAAAAAAUUAAAAAUAACUUAUCCAAACAAUUUUUUUCCUUUUUACUUUUAAAAACAAAAUUUAAAACACUCUUAUUUUUAUAAAACAAUAUAAAACUCUUUUUUUGUUAUUUAACUUAAAAUAAAUUUUAAAAACAUGUUUUAGAAAAUAUUACCAAAUGGGUCCUUAUUUUUAUGUAAAUCUCAUCAUUUCAAAUAUAUGAUGCUAUUUAAAUCCUUUUAUUCUUUUGAACAAGAGAAAAAGAGAAAUAUUUUAUUUUAUUUUUUAUGAACUUAAUUUGAUUUCCAUACAUUUGCAGUACUCGGUGAGAAUGAAAAUUCACAGAAAUAGGUAGAAUUUAUUGUUCUUUUUUCAAGUUAAAUAUUGUUAACCCGGUAUUAAAUAUAAAGACAGAUGACUCAGGACUACCUCAUGGUGAUAAAACUGACAGAACCAACAAAAACAUGCUGAUUGCGUGAGUACUGAGUGAGAGCCCGUUCUUUACUUUCCUCCCAAGUUCCCAACGACACCAAAUUCCUCAUCGUACUGGGUUAAUCGAACAUUCUGGAACUUCACAGAAACUUCCUAAAAGUCCAUGCUUACCCAGCAAGCAGUCGAUGCUUACCCAGCAAGUAAACGAGGGCAAGCUCGUCCUUUCAGCCUCUCUCCCGCAUACGUACCGGUUUUCACUCUCCUUUAUAUACUCCAUCCUCUAACAAGGAACGCACUACAGUCUAGACGUUAUUGAUUCUUCGUUUGCUGCAAUGGAGGGUCGUGGAGGAAGAGGAAGAGGAAGAGGAGGUGGUGGUGUAGGAGGAGGCUACGGGUGGAGAGGGAGAGGGAGAGGGAGAGGGAGAGGGCGGGGACAGCCCACUCAGCCGUGGAGGCCCUCCAAUCCUGUCCAGCAACCGUCAUCAAAUCUGGUGGGACAACCGGUUCAACGGUGCAUUCCCAACCCGGUCCAACAACCACAACAUCCACCAAUCGCGCCGGCAACAGAUGCUACGGUGGAGUUGCCAACUUCUUCUCAUCAUGUGAAAGGUUCGGAAUUCAAUUCUUCUUAUUGACUCUGAUUUUUGACGUUACCGUCUUUGUGAAUAGAAUUGGUGGGAAUUAAUAGAGAGUUUUAGGUUUACGAGUCUUGACACCGAUGGAUAAUGUCUAAGAUUUGAAAUUACCGAUUAUUAAUUAAGCUUUUUUUAAUUUAUUUAUUUAUUUUUUGACAUCAAGGAAUUGUUGGAUGUGUUUGAUGUGUCUUUGAGUUGAUCAUAGCUACAAUAUUAGUUAUGGUGGUUUGAUUGAUUGAAGGUUUUAAUUUUUAAGAUUCAAAAGUUGCCUCGUAUCAGAUCCAUUUAGAUGGAUGUGAUUAAGGGAUUUAAUCUAUAAUUUAAAAUUUGUUGUCAGGUAACCAUUAUGAGAUCAAAAUUUUGAUAGUGUGUGUUUUUCUUAAUCAAAUGGUUUUUUUAUUGUAAACAAGAUAUCCUCGUGUGAAUUUACAUGAGUUUUCUAUGGCAGAAGCUGGGGACAAGCGUAUUCCUAUGAGAAGGCCGGACAAAGGUGGCACCAAUGCUGUCAGAUCUGUUCCACUUCGUGUGAAUCAUUUUCCUGUCAAGUUCAAGUCUGAUGGGCUCAAUAUGCAUUAUGAUGUUGAUAUUAAACCAGAGGCUCCGCCCAAGAAGGGUCGUGCAGUAAAGAUAUCAAAGUCCACUUCGUAUAUGAUAAGGGAAAAGCUCUGUGUUGAUCACCCCUCACAGUUUCCUGCAUCAGAGAUUGCUUAUGAUGGUGAGAAGAACAUUUUUAGUGCUGUUGAGCUUCCCACUGGGAAAUUUAAGGUGGAGAUCUCUGGAGGAGAAGAGAUGAAGGUUUGUUCGUUCAUUGUCACUAUAAAUCUGGUGAAGCAACUUGAGCUUCAAAAGUUGAGUGAUUACUUAAGCGGGGUACUCUCCUUUGUUCCCCGUGAUAUAUUACAAGGUAUGGAUGUGGUAAUGAAGGAGAAUCCUGCUAGACAUAUGAUAUCUUCUGGUCGGAGCUUUUACCAAUUUAAAGACUCAGGAAAAGACGAGCUUGGAUACGGUAUUAUAGCUUCUAGAGGAUUUCAACAUAGUCUCAAACCCACUGCCCAGGGUCUAUCCUUGUGCUUGGACUACUCGGUUGUGCCAUUUUUUAAUCCAAUUUCGGUUUUAGAGUUCCUAAAGGAGCAUGUUUGUGACUUCUCUUUACGAGAGUUUAAGAGAUACAGGAGUGAGGUUGAGGCUGCCUUAAAGGGAUAUAAAGUUAGAGUGACUCACCGUAAUACGGGUCAAAAAUUCAUUGUUGCAGGUUUAACUAGUGAAGACACGCGAAACCUGUCAUUUCUUCCUGAAGAUCCAGAAGGCAAUGUUUUGCCAAAGAAAGUAAUGCUUGUUGAUUAUUUCUAUGAAAAGUAUGGCAAGGAUAUCGAGAACCAGGAUAUUCCCUGCUUAGAUGUGGGAAAAAACAAUAGGAAGAAUUAUGUACCAAUGGAGUUCUGCAUCUUGGUUGAGGGGCAGAGGUAUACAAAAGAGAUUUUGGAUAAAGAGGCUGCUAAGAGGCUGAAACAUGUGCAACUUCCUACACCAGUUGUCAGAGAAAGCAAAAUAUGUGAAAUGAUGCAGGCAAACGAUGGACCAUGCGGGUACAUAACUGUGAACCUUCAGCUUUUUCAUUCUAAUGAAUAGAUGUGGAUUUCCAUAGUUUCUUUUUAAAAUUUCCUAAUUUCUACUCGAGAGAUAAUAAGUUGAGGUGAACGGCUGCACCAUUUUGUGUGAAGGUAGUUGCUCUUGCUUAUGCAAUUCCUUGGUUCAUUAUCAAUGAAAAAAUGUUUUUUAUUAUUUUUUUCAUUCAUAAAGCAUCUCAAUUUUGUAUUUGGUUUUGAUGUGGUGAAACCAACACAAGAUUUCAUGCCAAACAUUAGUGAUUUGAAUUAGUGCAUGAGUUACUUUCCCUUUUUUAAAGUCCUGAUUCAUGAAUACAUUUUGGCUCAUGGCAGCUGGGGGGUUUCAAGAACAUGUGUUUGGCACUGAAAUUUUUAGUCCAUAACGAUUAUCGUUAUUAUUCACCCCUUACAUAGGUUCUCAUUACCAUUUAAUAUGAGAUGAAGUUAACACUUGUAGUGCCCAAAAGUUAUAAUAACUUUACAUUCAUCACUAGAAAAGAGUUGGAUGUGCUGAUGGAUUGAAUUAAAUUAUGUGCAUUGUGUUAUUUUUAUGCUACUAAUUUCAGUUACUCUUGUUGGCAGGGGAGGUAUCAUUGACAGUUUUGGCAUUGGUGUAAGCAAGAACAUGACAGAAGUUGCAGGACGAGUCAUUGAGCCGCCAGAGUUGAAGCUAGGAGGCAAGCUGAACAAGAUAACUGUGGAAAGGGACAGAUGCCAGUGGAAUUUGGUUGGAAAAAUGGUCGUGAAAGGCAUACCAGUUGACCAUUGGGCUGUGGUGGACUUCAGUGGGCAGGAGCAGUACAACAGGCAGAAUACCAAUCAGUUUAUUUCAAGAUUUAUUAGGCGGUGUGAAAAGUUGGGAAUCCAAACGAAGAAUCCUCUUUUCUGUGAAACUGCCAGCAUGCAUGCCUUCAGAGUUUUCCCUGUGCUACGGGAGCUGCUCGACAAGGUUUACAAAAAAGCAAGAUGCCAAUUACAAAUUCUUGUGUGUGUCAUGGCUAGGAAGGAUGCUGGCUAUGGAUAUCUUAAGUGGUUUGCUGAGACCAAAUUGGGGAUGGUUACUCAGUGUUGUUUGUCCCGCCCCGCCAACAAAGUCAGUGAUCACCAUCUUGCCAACCUUGCUCUCAAGUUGAAUGCUAAGCUAGGGGGUAGCAAUGUAGAACUUAUAAAACGACUUCCACGGUUUGAAGGUGAAGGGCAUGUGAUGUUUAUUGGUGCUGAUGUCAAUCACCCUGGCUCUCAGAACACAACUAGUCCAUCAAUAGCAGCUGUUGUUGCCACAGUGAAUUGGCCUGCAGCAAACCGCUAUGCAGCUCGAAUUCGCCCACAAGCCCAUCGAAUGGAGAAAAUUCAGAAUUUUGGGGCAAUGUGCCUGGAGCUUGUUGAGACUUAUGUUCAGGCAAAUAAAGUCAAGCCAGAGAAGAUCGUGGUGUUCCGUGAUGGUGUAAGUGAGGGCCAAUUUGACAUGGUUCUGAAUGAAGAAUUACUUGAUCUCAAGAGAGCAAUCCAGGGGGAAAAUUACUGCCCGACCAUCACUCUUAUUGUGGCCCGCAAGAGACACCUAACACGUUUGUUUCCUAAGGUAAAUGAUGGGAGCUUUAAUGGGAAUGUGCCUCCAGGCACUGUUGUGGACACAACAGUGGUCCACCUAUCUGAGUUCGACUUCUAUCUUUGCAGCCACUAUGGUACACUUGGGACAAGCAAACCCACGCACUAUCAUGUCCUAUACGAUGAGCACAGGUUUAGUUCUGACCAGAUCCAGAAGCUUACCUAUAACUUGUGUUUCACCUUUGCUCGGUGUACAAAACCCG
rnacentral:lncRNA from 1 species